GCAUGUAUGCAUGUUGACGCGCGCACACGUAUAUGCACAUGCACACGCGCACACCAAGCCGGCUGAUGACCAAACGUUUAGAUGACGAAUCUGAGCGGGACAGCCGUUGAAAGCGCCGCACACAGUGACGACAAAACGAGGCAUUUGUCUGACGGCAAUCAUAUAUCGCGAACAUACACACGCACACACACUCCCCUAACUUCGCAACCCCGCCCUGCACACUCCACGCCUCACAUCCACGGCGCUUCAUACCUUGCUGCCAUACACGGGGUCCGUGACCUCACCCACGCACCUGAUCUUCACCCCUUCGCGACCCUCACCACCUCACCUCACCUCACCUCACCUCCACUGCACCUCACCUCCACCGCACCUCGCUGCAGAUGACGCCCGAGGUGCUGCGCGAGCUGGACCACGCGCUGGGCCGCGGCAACAGCGUGGCGGCGGGCGCGGCGGGCGGCGCGGCGCCCAUGGCCCUGGGCGGCGGCCCCGGCGGCGUGGCGCAGGCGGCGGACGGCCCCGGCGCGGCGGCGGCGGCGGCGGCGGCUGCGCAGCUGGCGGGCGCCAAGGGGCGUGUGGGCAGCAAGGUGGUUGAGAACGUGCGCGACAUGCCGCCGGUGCUCAUGAUGGAGGACUGAGAGGGGGCUGAGGGCCUGUGAGGGCUUGUGAGGGCUGUGUGGCGGGACUGCUGGUGGUGGCGGGGUCUCCGACCCGUGUGAUAAGGUGUGGGGGCACCUGGAGGGGAGUGCGGCAGGGGUGGUGGGCGGGAUGUGACCAGGGGGUGACCGACUUGGCAGGUGGCAGGACGACAGGUUUGACCAGGCAGACACUGAAGGGAUCCAUAGCGCAGAAUUGACAGGAUGAUUGCUAAACACUUAAAGAAGCAUGGCUAGGGUGCGACGCAAGACCGGACAGCAUGCUUCUGCGAGAGACAGAGGCAGCGCAUGCCGCACAUGGGUUUUUGUCAGUGGUGAUGGGGUCGAUUGCAUUGUGGCGGCAGCUAUAGCCUGCGCGGUGUAACAUGAGUGUUGCGGUGGGCCGUUGGCGGUGUGCCGGCCUUCACCACUUCAUGCGGGUGGCCGGUGGGCUGGCGGUUUCGUGUACCUGGGCUGCCAGGCGCCAGCUGUAAUUAUGUGGGACCGGAUUCGAUGGAUGUGUUAUUGCAGUAAAUAGGCACAAGGAUGUGGUUCAACGCUCUGGAGCCAAUAGCGAUGGGCAAAGACGAGGGAAUCGGCUGGCCGUGCCUGCGGCACGAACUGGCACAUGCGCACCCCGUAUACACACCUGGUACACCUGCCCCUCCAGGGCGCCGCGCACACACCACAUACGGCUUACAGCCGCGCAGGCGGCACAGCUGAGCUCAGGCCGCCCCUCCAGCCCCGCCUGAACGGCCCGCCGUGGCGCCGCACGGCCGCCGCACCGCCCCCACCAGGCCACCAACGACCGCUGUGCCCUGCUGCCCUCGCAUGCCGCUGCGCCAAGCCGCCGGGGUGUACCUGGGCUACAUGCUGCCUGUAAUGCCUGUCAUGCCUGUCAGUGUCACCCUCCUGCCCACUCCGCCUGGUCCAUCAAACGCGUGCAGCAGCGGGACUGCCCAGGGCACGACCAGCACCAAUCAGGGGAAUGCGCUUCCGUGUGCCCUCUCGCCUCCAGCAUACCGGCACUUACUACGUAGCGCUCCCUUGUGCCCUCUCGCAUUCCACUUAAGACGUACGACAAGAAAAGGUGGGCUGAGCCUAAUAAAGACGUACUAAACUGAGACUAAUAAAGACGUCCUGAAAGUGCGUAAUGGAGAAGGCCCUUCUCCUGCAUACCUGCAAAACGUUCCCACCAACGGGCAGGAAGUGCCCUGGCCGUCAGCGGGCAUCACUCCAACCACCGUCCGGUUGAGUCCGCGACACACGCACGUGCGCCUUUCACCACCGUGUACUCCGCCACGAAGCCAACCCAAGAUGCAUGCACACGCGCCCCACUGCACUCCAAUUGCACAGCACCUUUUACACACCAGCGCACCUGCACUGCCUCACGCGCCAUCCACUGCUUGUUUACCUGAUGCACGAGGAUAUUGUCAACCAGAUCACACCACAUGCAAAGAAUAGACUGGCCUUGACAGUCCUACUUUAUCGUACACCAUGUUCCACUGGCUUUUGCGCACGCUCGACCUCCCUGACGGGCACUUCCCACCCUGCGGCGGACCCGCAAACCUGCAGCCAGUGGUCUGUCCAAGCCCGCGCCCACAUAGCCCCCAGCCACAUGAACCCUCAUGCCGGCGUCAUCACGAGCCGACACCUGCGCCGCCCAGCUCUGUGGGGCUUGCCCGCGCCCCCGCCUUGGCCUGCUUCAUCGGGGCGCCCGGUGCCUCCGGCUGCCCCCGCGAUGGCCGCUUCCUGCCGGCCGCCGCCGCUGCCGCCGCCUUCUGGGGCGUUGUGCUGCCGACGACGUGGCCGCCCGCCGCCGCCACCAGGAGCUGACCCUCCACAAGCGCGGGGUCGGAGGUCGCCUGCUGCUGCUGCUGCUGCUGUUGCCGCUGCCCCUCCGCCUGCUUGCCCUUGCCCCGUCCCCGGCUGCCGCCGCUGCCACUAGCAGGUGACUUCCGGGCCGACGGCGGCGGCGGCGUGUCCAGGCCCCCGCCCCCGCCAUCUGCAGCUGAGGAGCGCCGCUUGCGACCCGCGCUCCCGCUGCCGCCACCGCCGCCAGCACCGCUGCCUCCCCCUCCGCCUCCUCGCCGCCCCAUGCUGCCAGGCGGCGUGUACUCCUCAUCCGCCUCGCCACCCCGCGCCUCGCCACCCCCCUGCCCCUCCCCGUCCUCAUCAUCCUCGUCAUCGGAGGACAGCGCCUCACUGGCCUCCUUGUCGUCGUCAUCAUCAUCCAGCCCCGCUGCCGCGCGCUGCUUGCGGCCUCCUCCCCCUCCUGCGCCUCCUCCGCUGCCGCCGGCGCCUCCCGCCCGCAGGUGCUGGGGCAGGCGGUGCUGCUGCGCGGCCAGCUCGCUGAUGAACAGCGUGUUGUGCGCCCUGUGUGUGGGGGGGUGCGGGGGGGUGGAGCGGGUGGGUGACCGCGAGCCACAGGCACACAGGCAGCCCAAACGCACCCUGCCAUCAACCCGCAACCCCACCUGCACACGUACCCGCACCCGCACCCGCCGUGCAAACUCCAUCCCCGCAGCUGCGAGUGUUGAAAACAACAGCCCCGCCACCGGCCCUGGUGUCGUCCUGCUCACCAGCCCGCGUACUCGCCGAAGCGCUCCGUGAACGCCGCCGCCACCUGGCCGUGCAGCGCCUUGGUGAGCGCCUUGCCGCGCAGCGCCGGCCGGUAGUAGCGCACCUGGGGGGGGGGCGGGGGGUGGCGCAUGGGGGGGGGGGGGGCAGACGUGCAAGCGUGAGCGAAUGAGAGAGCGAGGGCGCGACUGAACGAGGAGGAUGCGUACGGUGGUGGUGGUGGUGGGGCGCGGGUGCACCAGGCCACACACCCAGCUUCCUUGCAUGCCCCGCCCCGCCGCCCCGCUGCCCUCACCGCGAUCUGCCACACGUGUGUGUCCACGGGUAUGGCCGCGGCCUUGUCCAGACUGAACAGCGCGACGCAGGCAGCCACCUUGGGGCCCACGCCUGGAGGUGGCGGGAAGAGGCAGGAGGGGAGGAAGAGAAGCAGGAGGCAGGGUAAGAGAAGCAGGAGAGGGUAAGAGCAGGGGCAGGAGGUGCGGGUCGCGGUGGGCAGGUGGGCAGGAGGGCCCGAUGGUGGCGGGUGGCAACACUGGGCGGGUGGCGCACUUCCGCCCGCAUGCGACCGCUAGCGGCAACAGGCGGGGGGGGGGGGAGGUGCCCGUGGGAGGUGCCGCAAGCGGAGGCAAGGAGCUCGUCAUCAACAGUGCACCCGUUCGUCCAAGAUCACAAGGAGAAACAAGCGCAAAGACUGUGUAUGCCGUAUGCGAUGCAGGAACGCAACGCGUGUGUAUGUAUGUGUAUAUGUGUGUGCGUUGAGGGGGGCGGGGCCGCCUGCCGCGCCCUGCCUUCCCCUCCAGGCCGCCCCGCCACCCACCCGGCAGCUCCUCCAGCGCCGCCACCGCCUCCUGCAGCCCCACCCGCCGCAGCCCCAGCAGCCACUGCCGCCCGCCUCCGGGCUUCUGCCGCAGCGCCGCCACACUGCCCACCACGAACUUGGCGCGGUAGCUGCAGGCAGCAACAGGCAGCAGCAGCAGGGGCAGGGGCAGGAGCAGCAGCAGGCGGAUGUGGCAGCAGGCCGUAGUGGGCAGUCGUCAGUCAGGCGGGACACAGCUGAGAGGGCAGGAGGGACGCAGCCGCAGCCGGCGGCUCGUGGGCUGUGUGCAGCGCGCACGUGCUGCCGGCGCGCUGCAGCGCCCUGCUGGCUGCUGGGCAUCGCCUCCGCUCUUGCCUCCCGUCACGCUCACCUCCACCUUCACAGAGAUUUGCUCCAUGCUUCAGCCCUGCCCUGACCCCCUUGACUGUUGGGACCUAUUUGGCUGGGCCCGAGCACAUAACCCCCUAACCCCCUUCCCCCUGCGACCCGCAUGGAUACCCGCCCGCCCGCACUACUGCCCCCGCGCGCGCACCCGAAGCCCGCCGCCCGCAGCUCCUCCUCCGUGGCCGCCGCCAGCUGCUCCAGGCUGGGGAAGGCGUAGUAGGACAGCACGGGAGCAGCAGCAGCCGCGUCUGAGCCUGCCGCCUUGCCGCCGGCCACAGCGCUGGCCCGGCGCUUAAAGCCCUUCUGACCCGCCUUGCCCCCCGGCGUUUCUGGCUUGAUGUCAGGCUCAGCGGCAGCGCUUGCCGCUGCCUGCAGCGGCCCCGUCCCUGCCUGCAGCUGUUCUACUGGCUCCGACUUGAUCUGCUGCUGCUCCUGCUGCUCCUGCUGCUGUUGAGGCAAUGCCGGUGGCGGCAAGGGCUCCGCGGGAGUGAGCGGCGUGCCGUACGCGGAACACAGGCGCUCCACCAUGCCGUGUAUGCGGCUGAUGUGGUUGUUGGAGGAGCAAAUGAACUGGAACAGGCACUCGUGCGGGUCCUGGCGCAGCAUGCGGGCGCCCGGGAAGUAGGGGCUCACCGCCGCGAAACGCCCACAUGCCGCCGACCAGUCACGGGUCAGCUGCGCCAGACUCACGCCCUGCUGCUGCUGCUCCUGGUCCUGGUCCUGCGCCGCCGGCUCACCACAGCCUGGCCGCGGCCCCGGCGGCGGCGGCAGGUAGAAGUAGUCGCGGACCGCCGCCUCGUCGCCCUCUUCCGCUGCCUCCGGCCCCGACCCCCGCGCCAGCACGCGGAACACCACGUCUGCCGGCAGCUGCCUCAGCGCCACCAGCCGAGGCCCGAUCACGCCCGUGUACUCGCUCGGCGCCGUGGCCCGCCAGCGGAAGGACUGCCCCGUGGGCAGGCAGAAGUCCAGCUGCAGCUCCGAGGGUGGCGUGCCCAGGGAGCGCCAGCCGGCAGGGGCGGCAGCGCCGGCGGCGGCGGGUGGCGCUGCUGGCGCUGAGCCCGCCGUGGGCGGGUCCGCCAUCGGCGCUGUGGCGGAAGCGGCCGUGAGUGGAGACUCUUGAGAGUUCCAGGCCCUCCUGAUUCCAAUGAAGCAGGUUCGUGCGGUGAGGUUAGAGGCGUGUAGGAUGCGCGGGCAACAAAGUUGGGAGCGCUGCGGCAAGUGGCCCGACGACGUAACAAUUUGGCGGGCUCUUGCACCAAGAGGGCGGCAACAGACGUGGUGCAUGCGAACGGCACUGUUGAUGGCGACAAUGAGCGUGAAUUGCGUUACCUUGCGGGAGCUUUGCCCGCAACUCGGCAUGCAUGGGAAUUGACCAACUUGCGCGAUUCGUUACUGCUGCUGGGUUUACCUCGCGCCUGCUCUGAUGUAGUACACCAUAUAAUAACCAAGACGUUACAUCUACAGCCGACGUUAGGUCGCUUUGUGUUUGACGGGAGCCGCGCUGUCACGAUGAACUGAACCUUUGAAGCGCCCCAGGAGUCAUGAGCACAUUCGCUGCGAAGCUAAAGGGCGCGGGCAUUGUGCCACAGACGGCGGCAGCCCAGGGCGCCAAGCAGCGUGCGCCCAAUGCCCCGGCGCAAGCUGCCAAGCCGGCUAAGCAGACUGUUGGUUUCGCGGUCGCCAACAGCACGGAUCGCUUGGGCUUCAUUGGCAAUGUCCUGAUUGGCUACAGAGUGGAGGUUCAGGUGAGCUGCGGGCGCGGGCCAAUCUGACGCGACUCUGCGCGAAGGCCCGCUCCAUUAUGCAUUCUGUCGACGCAUAUGUGGCAAGAAGCAUAAAGGCAUGAUACCUGAGGUCCUGGCCCUGCAUUUGUGCAGGUGGCAAGCGGGGUCGUUUACGAGGGCGUCUUUGGUUCGUUGCAAAACGACGGCAGCGGCGUGUCGGUGGUCCUCAAGUUCGCCAAGGUCAUCAAGGACCCAUCGGCGCCCGCGGUGGACAAGACGACCCUGGCAGAGAAGCCGGUGGCAGUCCUGACCAUUCCAGCUGCGGACCUGGUGCAGGUGUAUGCCAAGGACGUGCGACUCAGCGCAGAGGACCUCUCAGGAGCUGACCGCAGCGAUGUGGGCUUCGAGACGGAUGCAGCUAUCUCGCGCGGGCGUGGCGGGUAAGUGGGGGCCGGGGACAGGCGCUGCGGCCUGCGGGUGUUUGGGAUGACUGGCGGGGCACUUUGUUGCCUCGACUGGUCUCCAAGACUCUUGACGAUGGCGAUGGUACCCGCUGCUAGUGUGAGUGUGUAUCCCUUAUCCAUCAACUAGCAGCUCUUCGAGUGGCUCGGGCGGGUCAUGACCCUAACAGCUCGGUUUGGUCCUUCCAAACAGGGGCAUGCGUGAGCUGCAGAAGUGGCAACCUGAUGAGGGCGAUGCGGGUGGCUUCUUCAGCUUGGAGGCUCCAGGGGGCGGCGCUGGCUGGGACCAGUUCGCUGUCAACCGCGAUCGCUUCGGCGUGCAGACCACUUGGAGCGAGCACUUCUACACCACGAAAAUUAACCGUGAUGAGUGCAAAAUUUCUGAGGAGGAGGCGGCCCGCAUCGCACGGGAAAUUGAGACCGGUGUCUCGGGUGCUGCCACUACCAACAUCCAUAUGCUGGAGGAGCGUGGCGGCGAGCUAGGUGCCGACGUAAGUAGCGUGGAUGCAUGACAGCCGUCGGGGCCGGCCAAGGCCAGCCGGAGGGGCAAGGGGGACACAGGCCUUGACCGGUAGCCGCCGUCCGCGGGGUUGAGUGUGCACGCGGUGCGCCCGAGCGCCUCCUACUCCGCGGCGCACAUGGCGGUGUGCAGGCGCUGCACGCGGCUCACUCGCCACACAACCUUUCCCCCUGUGUAAAGCUGCGGCAAGGCUUCUCGUCUUUGUGGUUAUGGACUGCGGUUGGACCACGCUGACGACGGCAGUACUCAUCGCCCGCCUCCUGCCGGACUGCUGGUGUGUAUGUCUGUGUGCCGUACACAGGUGGACGAGGAGGCGCUGUACGGGGCAGUCAUCCGGGACGUACCGCCCGGAGCUGCAGGAGCAGGAGGACCCGGAGGACCCGGCGGCUUCAACGCCUCAUCGCAACAGCCGCCCCGUGGGCCGGGCGGCCAGGGGCCGGGGCGCGGUCCGGGGCGUGGGCCGUCGCAGCAGUCGGCAGCGGACCGGGCUGUGGCCUGGGGGCGCGCCGGCUCAGGUGUGGCGGCGGUGGCGGGCGGGCUGUCCGUGGCGCAUCAGAAGCAGCAGCAGGCGGGCGCAGCAGCAGGUGUGGAGGGAGGCCUAAGGCGGAGCGAUGUGGUGUGUUGUGAUGAGUUAGGGGCGGGCGCGGACCCGUGAGGGUGCUGGCGGACGAAUUCGGUUUAGCUCUUAGGCCCAAGGCGCCAGGCACCCGACUAGCGCCUCUGGCUGUCAGGGGAUGCCCGCACUCCCCGCACGCAACCCACCGUGGCACCUUCCGUUGCCCCUCCCGUUGUGCUGUUGCAGCCGGAGGCCCCAAGCCCAGCGUUGGCGCAAUUCCCGUUCCAGUGCCGGGCGCCGGGUCUGCCCCGGCGGCGGCUGGGGAGGGCGGAAGCGGCAGCGGCGCCAGCAGUGCCGGAGGCACCGCGCCCAUUGACAUUGACCCACGCAAGGAGGUCAACAAGGUCCGCAGCUCGCUUACUGUGGGCUCCAAGAAGGACCGCAGGUGAGCGGGGGCUGGACGGCACUUUGGGGAGGCUGGGCUGGGGGGUGACGCGGGUGGGCUGGACAGGCUGGUGACUUGAUUGGUGUGCCGCAAGCUUGCUGCUAUUGCGGGUGUGUGUCGGGUUGCACACGUUGGGCAGAGGCGCCACCGCGCGGUGCUGCCGCCCCACAUGUACGUCGUCUGUCGGCUCACUCCAUUCCCCUGCACCUCACGGCCGCGCAGCUCCCCCUACGGCACUCCCAAGCUGGGCGGUGUGGGCGGCAUGUCGCGCUCACCGGUGUUCGCCAGCCCGCUGGUGGCUGACCCUGUGUCCUUCUCGGCGCUGGACCUGGACCCGGGGGCGCCGCAGGUGGGGAGGGGGUUGUGGCAGAGGGCGGGCAGCUUCAAAGGAGGGGCGGAGAGGGAAGGGCUGCAGAGGGCAGGGGGAGAGGUAGAGAUGCCCCCUGCAAUGCAAGGGUGUCCACGGGUGGCAGCAGAUGCGCGGCACAGGCGGGGUCAGGGCCCGGGCGAGUCGGCAGGGACAGGUCCCGUGGAGUGGGUAGCACUGGCGUCGAGGCACUGGGAAGGGGCGGGGAGGGAAGGGCAGGGGCGGGGCACCCCUGGACGGCCGAAACGCGCGUUGAUCAGCUGGGACGGGUAGCUGGUGCCGUGUAGCUAGGUUGGGUCAGUGCCGAGGGAGCUCAGCGCCGCGCUAUACCCACACGCCGCCAUGCCGCCUCCGCCUGCAGGUGAAGCUGGACCCGGAGGCCCAGGCCGAGUUCCUGCGCUUCAAGGAGGAAAUGAACAAGAAGCGCCAGCAGGCAGCAACAGGGUGAGGCGGGAGGGGUGGGGCGGGGCCAUGUGGGGCUGGGCAGGAAGCAGUACAGGGCACCAGUUGUUGGGCGGGUUUGUCCAGGUAAUCCAUCAUUGCUCAUGAGGCAUCACAUGAGCAGUCGGCAGUGCUGUUUCAACCCUCUCGCAUCACCCCCUCCGCGUGGCUUGCGUCUGUGUCGCAGAAGCGAGUCCCUGGCGGAUCUCAAGAAGUCCUCAUCCUCAUUCAAGGACCGCCCAGCAGGAGCCGCAGCGCCCGCAGGAGCAGCGGCGAACGGCAGCGGCGCCGCCACACCGGCAGCGGACGGUGCUGCCACUGCCGCGCCCGCGGCGGCCGGUGCCGCAGACGCGGCCGCCAAGCCUGCUGCCAAUGGCGACACGGCUGCGGCUGACAAGCCCAAGGUGGUGUCGAAGCUGAACCCCAACGCCAAGCCCUUCUCCCUCAACAUCUACGCCAAGGAGUUUGUGCCCAACUUCGGCAAGCCCGCAGCGGCCGCGGCGCCGGCCGCGGCGGCCGCCCCGGCGGCAGGCACGGCAGCGCCUGCUGCAGGAGGCAGCGCGGGUGGGGCCGGCGCGACCGGCGCCGGCGGCAUAAGCAGCACCGCGGUUCUGUCCACGGCGCUGCCCUCGGCCACCAACCCCAAUGCGGCCAACGCGCCGCCGGCGGCCGCGGCCGCGGCGGCUCAGGCGGCCGCCACUGCCAUCUCUGCGGGCGCCGCUGGCCAGGCCAGCUACCUGGCCAGCACCAGCGCCGCCUCGCACGGCAUGGCGGCGUCCUACCACCACAGCAGCGCCGGAGGGCACGGGCCGCAGCAGCACGGGCCGCAGCAUGGCGGCGCCGGCGGCAUGGGCGGUGGCCACGGCGGGCAGGGCCAGUACGGCGGCGGCGGGGGUAUGGGUGGCGGGCAUGGCGGACACCAUGAACAGCGCGGCGGGUACGGCGGCGGCGGCGGGCCCAUGGGCCGGGAAAUGCGCGACGGCGGCCACGGCGGCGGCAUGUACGGCGGCGGCGGGCACCGCGGCGGCGAGAACAUGUACCGGGGUGGCGGCGGCGGCCAGGGCAUGAUGGAGGGUGGCGGUGGCGGCGGCUACCGGGGCGGUGGCGGCGGCGGCGGCCCUGGCGGCGACCCGUUCCGCGGUUCCACCGGCUCGGGCGCGGGCGACGGCUACCACCACCAUCACCACCACCACCACGGGGGCCACAAGGGCGGCCCCGGUGGCGGUGACCAUCACGGCCCCGGCAAGGGCGGCGACGGCGGCCAUGGAGGCCACAUGGGCGGCCCCGGUGGCCCAGUGGGCGGCCCUGGCAGCGGCCUGCACAAGGUGCCGCCGCCGCCGCCCCAGGGCCCUGGCGGCAUGGGCCCGGGCGGCGAGGGCGGUCCCAUGGGCCCGCACGGCCACGGCCACGGCGCCACCAUGGUGGUAAACGGGCACGCGGUGACGCCGGCCACCAUGGGUCCGCACGGCGGCCUGGUGCCCAUGACCCCCGCCGCCAUGGCUGCCGCCGGCAUGCCCGCCGCCAUGGCCGGCAUGCCGUACGGUGUGGUGAUGGCGUCCGGCCCCGGCGGCCCGCACUACAUGGCGCAGAUGCCGCCCGGUGCCACGCACGUGGCCAUGGCCUCCACGCCGCAGGGCGCGGUGCCCAUCAUGGCCUACGCGGUGCGGCCUGCGGGCGGCGGCCCCCCCACCGCCAUGGCCAUGACGCCCACCGGCCACAUGGCCAUGAUGGCGGCCGGACACGCGCCCCCGGGCAUGGCGGGCCACUACGGCGCCGUGGCGGGCCCCUACAUGGCGCAGGUGCAGGUGCCGCCGGGCGCCAUGCCGCCGCCCAGCCCCACUGGCACGGGCCGCUCCGCGGGCGCCUACUUCCAGGCGGCAGGCGGCGGCGGCUACCCGGGGCCCAUGAUGGCGCACCCGGGGCAGGGGCCGCACGGCGGGCCGCACCCCGGCGGCCCCAUGGGUGGCGGCCAGGGGCCACAGGGCGGCGGCCACCACAUGAUGCAGCAGGGCCCCAUGGGCGGCGGCGGACACAUGGGCGGCGACGGCCGCGGUGGCAUGGGCGGGCCAGGCGGACCCAAGGGUGGCCGCGGCGGACACCGCGGGCCGCCACCGCCGCGCAUGGACCACGAGCGGCCCGCACCGCCCGGGCCCCGCGACAUGGAGUGAGCGGCCUGGGCAGCGGCCUGAGCAGCCUGGCAGCGGCGAGGACUCAACAAUAGAGGAGGAGGGGCGGAGGAGCCGGGGAAGAGGGCCCUGCAGGCGCCGCGCCUGGCAGGUGACGACACGGCUUGAGGGGUCGAGUCAGGACAAGGAUGUCCGGUCGUGCGGGCGUGCCGGCGCAGCCGCAGCGUUCACGUGGGUAUGUACGACCCUGUGCGCUGCGGGCCGGAGGGCGCAUGCAAGGGCAGGCGUGUGCAAGCACAAGCGCACGCGCACACGCUACUAGGGCACAAGUUUGGUGGACUGAGGCAGUGCCCAUUGGACCUGUAGCUGGGUAUAGCCGAGGUGUCGGGCUACUGCUACGGGAUCUAGGGGGACCUAGGCGGCAGCUCGCCUGCCCGCACGUCUGAUAGGGCCCCAGCCCCGCAGGCCGGUGUGUGGCUUGCGUGCGGUGCCUCUGCAUCUCUUGCGGGCGACGCCGCCGUGGCUGCACACACCUCCUUACCUUCCAGGCCGAACACGGCGCCAGGAUGCUGCACGCCAUGCGGCGCCGCCGCUUGGUGCCUUGCUUGGUCAUCAUACACAAGCCAUCUAGUUGUCUUAGUGAAAGGGCAAGAUGUUUGUUGCCAAUUAGGCGGAUAAUGACUUGCCGCACACUGCUAUCUAGGAGAUGGGUAAUGUGGUAAUCUGGAAGAGCCCAUUUGAAGGUUGGAGGCGUUUCAUGGUGCUGGUACGCAUAUGAGUCACCGGGUGUGCCCGGGAGGAUUGGAAUUGCUAACGGCGCGUGCUCCGGGGCUGUCGGGGGUAGGAGCAGCGCUGGAGCACCUGCCCCGGUGCACCUUGCAGCUGCAUAUGCAUGGGCUGCGCGCGUGGGCAGGCCGCCGAGGGCGUCGCCCCCUGAGCGGGAUUUCUAGGUUGCCGCGGGUGGCAGGGAAGCGGACGCCAUGCGGAACAGACAGCUGGAACGGCGCCACGCACACACAGUGCAGGUCACUGGGUUUCUGAACGGGUCGCGUCGUGCUUCUUGGAGGCUGGAUUACAGGAGCCGACUUGGGAAUCCGAAGAGCCCGGCAGUUGAGCCAAAGACGGGCCCACAGCAACUUGAGGGUGCUUCUGGGAACGUUUUGACCAUUGCAUCUAGUAUGGUUGAGCGUCAUUGUCUGAGCGAGUCGUUUCACUUGGCUGUACUCAGGGCAAACGGCGCGGGCAGCAGGGGCGCCUGGGGACGAGCUCAGGCAGGACGAAAUGGCGAGUUCGGAACGGACUGACCAUGACGGACAGCGCGACAACCCGCCCUGUAGUCAAGCAGGAGGCCCGCACCGGUGUUGGACUCAGCGACGCGUUGAGGAUUGCAGUCUGCACAGGGCCCGCCCCUGUGACCACAACCGCUCCCCACUCCGUCCUGCCCAUCUCUGUUCCAGCAACCCAUGGAGGCAUGGACAAGCCUGCCAGACCAGUGCGGCGUAACCCCCUGCCAGACCAGUGCGGCGUAACCCCCUGCAUGCGCCGCACCGUCUUCAUGGCUUGUGCCAUACACUCUGCAUCUGGAGGAUUUGCGUAGCUUGCUUACUGGGGCUGCACAUGGUCGUCAUCGCGCGCUGCCUGUCCUUAACAAACAUUACAAAAACGACACGUACAUGCACCGCGGCCUUUUCAGGUUCUCCUGGGGUUAGCGGGGCCCUCGGCCCCUCCCCCCCCCCCGCAGUCCAGGCGCCGCGCCCCACCCGCACAGAGCCGCCACACGGGACCGCCUUCGCCCAAUGCGUUUGCGACCAACUUGGGGUUCGGUCAGAACAGACUUAUCCCGCGCUGUAUUAGCAAGACAAAUACGAUUGAACGAGUGCAAUGACCGUGCGAUACGGAGGCGUUUGGCAACACGGUUUCGAAACCGCACCCUCCAUAGAACCAGCGGACUGUGGCUGUGGCAUUAUUUGCACGUAUUCUGUAAACGUAUAUCCGUCGUUGGCAGUGCGUGGCCGGCACGUCGCACGACGAAACCGUGCCUCAAUCCCAGCCUGAGCCGCGAGCUUGACUGCUUGGCUAGUAAAUACUUGAUUACUACUACAAACCAAACAGAUGGCAAUGAGAUGCAAGUCGCCGCGUCUGGGACUGCCAUUUAACCGCUGAAACCGAGGGCCAGCCUUUAGCCAAAAUCGUGGUUCAUAACAUUUGAACGCCGAACUGAGCUUUAUGACUCUAAUUCAUCAGCUUUGAUCAAUUACCAUCAUAUGACUACUUCAUGCCCAGCAACAGAAGAAAGGAAUGGGCCUACUAUGCUGCUUCCGAGGUAACAGAACAGACGCAAAUGAUGAACGUCACCUACAGCACCACCUGGCAGCAGAGGUGCCAAAAGAAACUGUGCCAGCCUGCGAGGACGAUGCGCAGCUGCGAUCCCAUCCGAAUAAACAUGUUAUUGCAAGAGGCGAAACUUCCUCUGGUCGCGGCGACGUGCGGGUAAGUGUUGAGCCAGGUCACCAAUCGACGGGCCGUCACCGUGUCGCCUAACAACGACCGCCGCUCGCCUGGGCUCCAACGUUCUUCAGGCGGCAGUUUCAAAUGCAUGCACCGGCUUAGGCGCAGUCGACUCCGAUGCUUGGUCUGCACGCGUCCGAGCGAGCCUCGAUGUCAUCGCUGCGGCCGGUCUCGGCCCCGCCAGGUGAGCGAGCGAUCGGCGUCCACAUACGCACAUGCAGCCACGCGCAAGCAACUACGUGUGGCCGCUUGAACCUGUGAUGCCCGCAUGGCACUUUACACAGCUUGGCGCUCUUCGGGAGUGCGCUGCCGCCGCACGCCUCUGCGCCCGGCGCGGCCGCAAACGGACCUCAGCUGCAGCUACAGCCGCACAUGUGCGCACAAGACACUGCAGGCGCUGCUGCCGCCACCGGCUGGCUGUGCCGGAGCAGCACUGGGUGCGCCGGCGGCACGGCAGUUGGUGCUGCAUCUGUUGCGGCAGCAGUAUCAGCGGCUGGCGGCGGCUGCGGCCCCUCCGCCAGCUGCUGGCUGCCGCAGCUGCACGAAGAGCUGAGUGCGCUCAUGACGGCGGUGGAGAUGGCGCAGCAGGUGAGGGGAAGCCGAGGGGCGCGGGGUGUUGUGGGAUGUCAGAGUCUCAGAUGUCGGUUUUAGGCCUUAGAAGUGCCUGAUUGGUUGAGGUUUCACUGCUUGCUACCUACCUACCUCGCGCCUGUCACUGUGCAGCCUCCGGAGUCGCACGUGGUGGUGGUGAGCCCGGUGGCGUGCGAGGAGGCUUUGUCAGGGCUCCUGGGGGCGGGCUCGGGCGGGGUGAUGGUCGCAGCCUCCACUGUCCCGUUCGUGCUGGUGCCCGGGGAGCAGCUUGCGCUUCCGGUGCUUGACCGCACCGGGCGUCUGGCGGCGGCGCUGCUGCUGGGUCUCGGGGACUUCCAGCCGCAUGCUGCUCCUGCUGCUGCUACCGAGGGUCUGCAGCUGACGUCACCAGACGUGGCGGAGCUUCAGCGGCUGGCGCAGUUCUUUGGUUACGGCAUGUUUGCGGACCCUGUCCACACCAAAUAUCUGUCGAAGGUGCGUUUGGCAUAGCCGUGAUCAAAAUUACGUUUUGUUCUUCAUCUUCUUCACCACAGCUUUCUCGCCACUGUUCCGUCGCCCACUUUUCGUCGUACCCUGCCCACCUCUCCCACCGCCACGCCUCCCUCCUCACUCCCGUCAGGUUGCCUCCCACCUGUCCUCCGCCUCCGUCAGCCUCAGCCUGCACGACCUGGUGUGUGCGGUGCUGGACGCGGUGCCCGACCUGCUGGCCGCAAAGACGGGACUCACACGGCCGCACGCGCUCAUGGCAGCAACCACCGCGCCGCCGGGGCAGCCGCCGAGCCCGCCGGCGGUGGCGGCAGUGGCCGGGGCGGCGCCGGGCACCUCUCCGGCUGCCAGCAUCACUGGCGGCGGCCUGAGCCCGGCAGUCAUAUUCAUGCCGCGGGGGCGGAACGGGUCCGGCGCGGACGCAGCUGCUGCGGACCCCGCACCCGCAGGGCCGGCGGCAGGCGCUGCCGCCACCACCGGCACCCGUAGCGGGCCAGGUGUUGCUGCCGACGGCUCUGGUGUCACCUCCCAGAACGUGUUGAGCAGCAGUGGCCACCUGGGCACCGGCACGGGCGGCGCCUGCAGCUUCCCCGCGCCGCUGCAGGCCCCCGCCGUGUCCGGGAGCCACGGCGCCCCCCCGGCCGCCAGCCCCGCCCGUCAGCAGCCAGGUCAGCAGCAGGCAGGGCCGGCAGCUGGCGGCGCACCCUCUCUGCACAACUUAGGAAGCAUAUUCGGCAGCAACUACAGCACGGGCGGCAUCGGCGGCAGUUUGGAAGCGGGCGGCGGCGAGGGCGGCCACCAUAGGCUGCUGGCGGGGGGGCCGUACGCGGAGCGCCAGCCGCCGCCGCCGCCGCCGCCGCGCCCCGCCCGCAUCAAGGCGGUGCGCCUGCCGCUGAACGGCACACUGCUGCUGCAGACUAUCAGGUAGGCUGGGGUCUGGACUCUACAGCGUGCAGGAUAUGAGUGCUGGGGCCUGAGGGCUGGGGCCUGGGGCUCGUGGACGUGUCGGCGCACAUGGAGAGCUCCAGGAGUUCCCGGGAUUGUGUAGCCCAAGGGGAUCGCUGACACACUGCUGGCACAACCCAUGUGGCCCACGUCGUGUAGCUGCUCCUCCCAAUGCCAAUGCGCGAUUCCCUUGCACAGGUCCGCCCAGGUGGCGCAGACCGCAGCCACCGCAGCUGCCGGCCCCAUGCAGAACCGCACGCUGGCCGCCUCCGCCGCCCAUGCCGCCUCCGCGCCGCUGCCGCGCCCCAGCGGCCGCGUGGCUCUGGGCCUGCUGUCUAGCGCCGCGUGCGCCAGCCCCUCGCUGCACGGCGGCACACCCGCACUCAUGGACACGGGCGUUAUCAGCGGCGGCGGCGUGCACUCGCCCUCCAGCGCCGCCGGGCCGCCCGAUGUGCUGGUGGCGGUGAUCCCCGACGCCAGCGCCCACGUGCUGGACGAGCAGCAGCCGCAGCUGGACGUGCGCCUGGCCAGCAGCCUGGUGCUCACACUGGCGGGCGGCGGCGGCGGUGCAGGAGGCGGUGGCGGUGCAGGAGGCGGUGGCGGUGCAGGAGGCGGCGGCGCUGCAGGAGGCGGCGGCGCUGCAGGAGGCGGCGGCGGUGAGGGCCCCCUGCACAGCUCCACCGCCAGCCUGACGCAGCUGGGCGGCGCCGGCGGCUCUGCCCUGGCGUCCAUUACAAGCGUGCCCACCUCCCACGCCGGUACUGUGCUGCUGUGCCUGGAGUCGUUGUCCGCCGCCGCAGCUGCGGCCGGCGCCUUCAAUCCAGCGCUAGCAGCAGGAGCCGCGAUGGUCGCUACAGCCGCCGAAAGGGGUGCCACCGGCAACUUCAGCCGGCCCAGCCACAGCAGCACGGGUGGACCGAGCUGCCUGGGCCUCACGCCCGCUCCCUCCUACGUGCCCGGCACCAUCCCCACCGCCGCAGCCGCAGCCGCCACAGCCACCGUUGGCCCCGCCGCCAACCCCUCGCCCUGGCGCAACCGCGGCUCUGGCAACUACGCCGCCGCCGCCUCCUCGACCGUAGGCGGCAGCCACGCCGGCCCCGCUUCCAUGGGUAGCAUGAGCACCAACCUGGCCUCAAGCACCGUCCGCCACAGCGCCGGCAGCCGCCUGGGGCUGGGCAGCUGCGCCGGCGGCCCGCUCAGCCACUCCUAUUGGCCUCACAUGACCGCGCCCGGUGUCGGCGGUGCAGGCUGGAGCCACGGCGGCGGCGGCGCAGACCGCGACUCGGCGUCCAGCGGGGCCUACACACACGGCGGUGCAGCAAGCGCGGUAGGAGGAGCAGGCGCGCUCAGCUGUCAAGCCGUCGGUGCGGGCGUGGCGGCGGCGGAGCUGGCGGCCUUAGGUGCCUCCAACGCGGCUGCGUCCGCGCAACACCAGCAUGCGGCAACUGGUGCGCUGGUGAGCGCCCAUGCGGCCGGGGUGGCGGCGGUGGCGCUUGGCGCCGCAGCCCGGGCGCGAGCCUCUCUGUGCCCCGGCCCCGGUCAGCUGGGCGUGUACGUGGUGUUUGCGGAGGUGCUGCCGCGCGGGCUGCUGGAGCUGGCGGCCAGGGAGCUGGCGGCAGUCAUGCCGGUGAGGAGGAGCGCAGGACCGCGGGGCCCGGCAGGGCGGAGCGGCGGAGGGUGUACGAUGUGCGCGCGUGCGUGCGUGCGUGUGUGUGUGUGUGUGUGUGUGUGUGUUUUAGGGCUUACAGUUGCCUUCCUUGGGGAUUUGCGUGUAUCCACUCUCCCUGUCCUCUUGUGUAUGUGUAUGAGCACCUGUCUAAUGCCUGCAAGCAGCACGUCGGUUGUGCAGACCAAGAUUGUGCUUUGGCGUGCUUCCUCUCCCUCGUCCUUCAGGUCAUCUUCAGCACCUUCCGGGAGUCCCUUGCCGCAUCCGCAUCCGCCGCUGUCAAUGCCGCCGCUGCGGCCGCAAUCGCCGCAUCGACGAUUGAUGCGACGGGUAGCAGAGCAGCAGGCGGCGCACUGGACGCAGGCGCGGCGAGCUCCACUGCCUCGGAGUGGACAGCCCUCUCGACACAGCUGACUGGGCGCGCACCCGGCGGUGGACUAGGCGGCAACACCACCGCAUCUGCGCUGGUCUCCACAGGUUGCGGCGGUGGGGUUGCCGGGCUGCUCGGUGCCACCGGGCACCUUCUGCACAACGGCGGUGCCGCGGCGUGGCUGGACGCCGCAACACUGGCUGGUGGCGGCAGUGUUGGCAGCGGCGGCUAUGUGCCCCCGCCCUCGGCCCCACUGCCCAGCCCGCUUGUAGGUGGUGGUGGCGGUGCUGGUGGUGGCAACACGUUACUGUCAACUGUGUCAGAGCACACCGUGGCCGCACACGGCCCCGCAGCGGCUGCCGCAGACGCCGCAGUGCUGACCGCAGCCAGCCGGCCCGGCGGCGCCCGGCUGAGCGGGACGGGCGGCCCGGGCGCGGCGGCGGCGGCCUCCAUGCCCCUGCCACGCCGCACCAGCACCGACCGCAUGAGCAGCGGCGGCAGCGGCAGUGCUGGUGCACUGCCGCCGCCUCUGCGGGGCCAUUCGGCGCUGGAGUCCAUUCAGAAACGCCUGGGCGCCGCCUUCGGAGCCGGCCCCACAGGCGGCGGCGGAGGCAGCCAACCGCCCAUGCCGCGCCUGGCGUCCAGCAGCAGUGUGCAGCACCCGCCGGUGCCCGGCGCUCCCCUUCCUCAAGAUUUGAUGCUGCCGCCCCACAGCACCGCUGCAGCCGGGGGCCAGCAACGCGGUUUCCCACGGCUGCUGGCAGGGCCACCGCCCGCGCCCUCAACCCCCUACGCCCACCCCUCCCUCCCUGCCAUACCAGCCGACCAAGAGGCGCGGCCGUACGCCAUGACCUUCGCCACGCCUGCACCUACUUACGCCACCGGCCAGCCGCCGCCCUACCUGGCUCCCCACCUCGCCGCGGCCCCCCACCUGCACGGCCCCCACACCGGCAUGCGCAUGGGCCCGCGCCGCAGCGCCACUGUGGGCCCCGCCGCCAUGCGCGAGCUGCACUCCAGCUCCGGAGCCGUGCAGGCCCCCCAGGGGCCCAGCUCAGCUGCCGGCCCCGGGGCCGCCAGCAGCACCUGCCACCUGCUGGCCGCCGCGGCCGCCGCCGGCCCCACGUCCGCGGCCUCUGGCGCCUACCGCUGGUCUGUCAGCAGCGCCCUGGCGCCCAUGUCGCCCCGCAGCGGCACCCUGGGCUCCACCACGGGCACGGCGCUGGCCUCGGGUCCGGCGCUGUUCCUGGAGGACGCUGCCGCCGCCAGCGUGGGCGGCAUGGCGCCGCCGCCCACUGAGGCUCUGCUGGCGGCCAUGCGGCGGCGGCUGUCCACCGCCCUCAACUCGCACGAGGAGGGACAGCAGGCAAAGUGAGCGGGCUGGGGGUGGGGUGGGUGGGCAGGGGUCGGAAACGAUACGGCCUAUGGGCACGUGCCUUCUGAUGGUGGUGGUGCAGACACGAGUGCCGCGGCGGCGGUGUCGUCGUCUGGGCUGGCGGUGACUGGGUGGCUGCCCGUGUUUGUUGCCCUUCCUGUACCCAACAUUGACAGGGCGGCUGUGAGUCAGGACAUUGCAGCGGUGGAGCUGCUGGAAAUGCUGGGUGAGGACAGAGAGGAAAAGGAGCAAUGUCGUGAUGACUAAGGCAUAGUAGUGGUCGGCAAGUCUUGAUGUCGCCCGAACGCUCUGUUAUGACGACAUCGUAGGGCUGCGGCCAGGUGGGAGCCAUACCACCGACGGCCGCCUUGCUCAUUCCCUCCUGCCCACCCCAACAACCCAGUAACCAGCCCCUGAUCCCUCCUCCCCGCGCAUUCGCACGUGCCUCGUCAGGCCACGGCGGCCAGGGUGUGGUGUUCCGCGGCACGCUGCACGGACUGGAGGUGGCGGUCAAGGUGCUGGAGCAGCAGAAGCCGCCCGCAGCGUCACCCGCGCCGGGGCGGCAGCAGCAGCAGCAGAUCGGCGACGGCACAGCGCAGGGGGCGGAGCAGCCGGUUGCGCAAGCGGGCGAAGGCGGGGGCCCCUGCACGGGUGGCGGGGCGGAGGACGCUAUGAAGGAUGAGGCGGAGCAGGAGCAGCACGAUGCGUUCGUGCGCAUGGUGAGUGCCCAGGCCUCCUCACUGGGGUCGAGCCGGGCGGUGCUGACGUCUACACACGGCCACACGGUGUACAGCAAGAUGUGUGCUGCACCUGCAAGGCCACACACACUGCUGUGCUGCUCAUGCCGUGCUUUUUGAUGCGCCUGCGGUGUUGACCUGCGGCUCCGUGUGUCGUGCAGUUCAAGCGGAGCGCUUUGGAGCUCGCGGUUGCGGGUGUGGUCAGGUGGGCUGGGAGUGGUCAGCGUGGGCAAGAUAAGCAGGUGGUGGACCGACUGGCGCAAUAAGGCUGUGUGUGCGGGCCUGUGACACCGGCAGCUCAUGACUGAGACAUGGGCAUAUAAUUGCCGCUCACGAGUCCCUCGGCCCUCCCCUCCCCUUUCUGUGCUUCGACGCACUCCCCGGCACCGUCCUCCCCGGCACCGCCCUGCUCGGCAUCGCCCUCAUCGCCGUCCUCUUCGCGUCUGCGCCGUCGUCGUCGCCACCGCCAACGCCCGCACCCGCACAGCCACCCGAACAUCGUGCAGGCGAGUACCGCCACGCCGCUGACUGGUGCUGCUGCAUCCCCCGGCGCUCUCCGUGCCCCCUCAAUGCCACCACCGCCACUGCGUGCAAUUUCUAACCACCCGUGCCCGCACCCACACCCGCCCCACAGGUGUAUGCGGUGUUCAGUGACGUGUCGGUGGUGCGGCUGAAGCAGGCGGAGGGACAGCCCGCGCAGCUGAGGCUGUGCGCGGCGGAAGACCUGCGGGCAGCGGGCAUCGCUCCAGGUGAGUGCGCGGCAAGCCCCCAGCGCGGCUUGCGGCUGUCGGUUGUUGUGCGGUCGUGUCAAUGUUAUGGUGCUAGUAUUCCGUCGGCCUUUGAGCUUCCUGCAAGUACACGGCACCUUGGGCCUCACAACCUGACGCCACGGCCCCCGCAUGCCACGACCGUCACCGCCCGCCACCCACCUGCACCUGCACCUGACAGACCCGCUCAACCAGGUCCUGUGUCUGGAGGUGCGUGUGCUGCCCAGCAGCAGGCCGCAGAGGCCAGGGGAGGCCAGGAAUGUGGCACUUUCAUGUUGUCGCCCAGCUUGCAGCUUCAGCCGCAAGGGUAUUUGCUCUUGAUGACUCAUUGACUCAUCAUCUCGCACUGUCCUUCCAACCAACCCAUAUGUCACCGCAGUACUGCGACUCGGGCUCGCUGCUAGAUCAGGUGCGCUCCGGCGCGUUCCGGCAGCCGUGCGCCUCCAGCGCCGAGCAGGGAGCCAUGUGGCCGGCGCUGGUGCCCCUGUACACGAGCCUGCUGGAGGUGGCGCUGGCGCUGCGGCACAUGCACUCCAAGCGGCUGGUGCACUGCGACGUCAAGGCCGCCAACGUGCUGCUCAAGAGCUCGGCAAGGGACCCCCGCGGCUGGAGCUGCAAGCUGAGCGACUUUGGAUGGUGCGUGCACGUGUGCGCAUAGGAUCAUGUAAUGAUGCAGCCGCACCGCUGUGUGGGCAGGCGUGGUGAAGGGUGACAGCCGCAAGCGUAUGUUUCAAUUGCUUGGGUGCAAGUGCUGUGUGCUGCCCUGCAAUGGGCCUCGCCUCUUGUCUGCAAUACCCACCCAGUCAUCUGUACCGCCUCUGCCACGUGCUAACACCCCAUGGCCUGCCAUGUGCGCCGCUCGCUUGCUGCCUGCCCCGUAGCGUGCGUAUCCUGAAUGAGGAGGGGCCGGACGGGCAGCCCGGCUUCCGCAUGGCACACCCGCACGGCACAGUCGCUUUCCUGCCGCCAGGUGAGUCCGCUGGGCACCUGCCGCAUGGGCACCUGCCGGGCACCUGCAUGCGGAUCCGCAGUGACGCCGUUUAAUGGAAGAAUGUCAUGCAUACACGUGUGUUCAAGAGCACACGGAAAAAACAAUACGCGCAAGACAGUGUGUGCGAUGCGAUGGCGUGUGUGUGUGCGCGCGUGUGCGUGUGUGUGUGUGUGUGUGUGUGUGUGUGUGCGUGUGCGUGUGUGUGUGUGUGUGUGUGUGUGUGUGUGUGUGUGUGUGUCUGUGCGUGCUCGCGCGCACGACUCCCGCCGCUACAUGCCGUGGAGUUGACAAGCCCAGCACCUGAGCCCGAGCCAUGAUGCCUGCCCGCCUGCAGAGGUCUUCAAGGGCCCGCGUGUGCUAUUGGGCACCUCCCUCGACAUCUACGGUAAGGCAACGGUGCAAAGCGAGGACUGCGUGUGUGUCCGUGAUGGGCCGCCUCUCACCUGCGCUGUACAAACUCACUUGUUCUGCCCUGCUUCCCGCUAACGUGUCGCUGAGUGUUUUUCGUUUUCCUCCUUGUUACGCCCUGACCCCGCGCAGCCUUCGGCAUUCUGAUGUGGUAAGUGCGGCGCUGUGCUCGAGAGAGCAACCUCGUGUCAUCUACCCGUGCAGGGAGUACUGCUGCGUCUCUGAGUGCGAAAUAAACUGACUGACUGGUCGCGUCCUGCACCACCGACAGCGGCACUGAAUGCCUCCUGUCCCCCUGCUCCUGCUUCCCCCCGCCCUACCCCCCGCCCCUGCAGGGAGCUGCUCAUGGCGCGCACGCCGCACAGGGGCCUGGACCGCAAGGUGGGUGGCCGCGUUGGCAGGCGCCGGCGCGGGUGUGGGCGAUCAGAGGUGUGGAGGUGGGAUGAGCGGGCUCAGGUACUUCCGGUGGCCAUUGACCGGAGGCCAUCGGAAUGAAUGCAGGCACAUGCGCAGCCGCUCUCCCCUCAGCGUCGCACGUGCCCCUGGUGUUUGCGGGUGGUCCCUGUUUGGGUAGCCUAUGCGCAACUACAUACUGCGUGUUCCCCCGCCUUUUGUGUCGCCAAUCUCUGCAUACGAUACACACACGCGCGCGCACACAGGACAUUCCGAGGCAGGUGCUCCACGCCGGGCUGCGGCCCGCCUUCCACCCGCUGGCGCCCGAGCCGUACAGGCAGCUGGCGGCGCGGUGCUGGUCCGCCAACCCGCGCGUGUGAGUGUGGCUGGCACCGGUGCGGGCGGCGGGUGGGCAUGGGCACUGGCUCGGGCGUGGGCAUGGGCAUGACAGUCUCGUGGGGUGGCCGGGCUAGGCGCACAUGCUUGCUACUGCGGCGGCUGCGGCUCCCACUUCAGCUUCGCCCGCUAGGGGUCCAAGUCGUAUGCAAACCUCCUCAUCCCUGAGCCGAGCUGUCUGCUGACCCGCUUGGACACAGCCCCUCGCCUCCCCCCCCGUGAUCAUGCCACCCUUCUCGUCCCGCCCUCCUCAUCUCGCUCUACCCCCCUCUCCAGUCGGCCCACUGCGCUGGCGCUGGUGGCGGAGCUGCAGCAGCUGCUGGCAGACGCGCAGGCGGCGGCGGCAGAGGGGCUACAGCUGCGGUGAUUCAUACAUGGCAAGGAGGGUUCGUGCCAGUGGGCGUCGGUGGGGGCGGAGCGUCGGGCAGGAGCCGGCGUGGGGGCGCGUGGAGGUCACUUGGGGACACGUACGCCAAACAGGGGAUCUGAAGAAAUCAACCGCUGCGGGGAUUCCAGAAAUUUCAUAAUGGACGCGAAGUAAUGUCCGGGUCUAUCAAUCAAGCAAUGAGCAUACCCCCCGCGAAGCACGAAAGCAAUCGGACAGGCAUGGGUGGAUGUGAGCAAUGGGUCGGAGUGUUGGAUUCAGGACGGGUCCGUGCCAUGAGCUGCGCCUGCCGCUGUUACGGGUACUUGAGGCUGCAGGUCAAGGUGCGACGACGUAGAUGAAUGGAGCAACAGGGCCUCAAAGUGAUUGUUGGCACUUUCGCGAUGCCAGUCCGUAUCCUUGUGAUGCAUUGCAAACGAAUGUGUUCGAGUGUGAGAGGUUAUUGAUGUUGCCAGGGUGCUUCAAGCAUGCAUGCAUGAAGAAGCGCAUGUAUGGAGAGGUCAAACUUAAAUGGGUGUGCGCGUGCACCUGAUAUGGAUGGAGCCGUGAACAUGCGCCGCGCCCACACACGCACGGGGCUCUGUAUUGGCCAAGGGCUGCGGCCACCGCACCCAUGCGGUUGGUCUGGUUCUUUUUGCAUGAUGAGGUAUUCAGACCCCCGUGCACCAAGGCCUCGGUGGUGCCACGUCAUUUCCGAUGUUGAGGUUCAACCGCAUAGGAAUUCCAUGCUUCUUUUGCUGGCGGAUGUAUGUGUGGCAGACGUCACUACCGGUCGUGUGCCGAGCACAGGCGUUCUUGCUACCGCGCAUUACUAUGCUGCAUCCUUAUCAACUUUCGCAUAAAGGCACAUUACGUGAUGGACAAACGCCCAAGCACGCAAACGCGCUUCGGGUGCGUCUUGGAUGCUGGGUACGUAUAAACUUCCGUGAUAUCCGCUGGUUACUGCUGAAGGAGUCUUCGGGGUCUCUUUUUGUGAGUUCAAGCAAAGUGUGCUGGACUGCAUUGCUCUGUUGUGGUAGCAGGGUGAGCCAAUGCCUUACAAAGCUAUACAUGUAGAUGGCGGCUGCGGAUGGCUUUGGAACCCCGCCAUGGCGAGGGAAUAGGGUCAUGGCAGCUGGUGAGUGGUCCCCGUCACCUCCUUGCCGGCUGCUGGGGGCCACCGCCAUGGACCCAUGGUGCACAGCAGUCACGGCUCGCGCUCGUGCACCAGCAGUAUCAUCCAGGCGGCCCCUGACGCAGCAGCCAAGUUGAUCGGGCUUCUGUAGUGCUGUGUGUCGUGUUGGCGUACGUAGCGCUGUGAGCCGUUCCACGGACACCCCACACGCAAAGACUGGGACUGUGAUAUGUUACUUGAGGACUCAUGCAUCCUUAUUGGCCUUACUUCAGUGGCAUGUGUCGCUGCCACACCGCCUUUGUUUCGAUGCUGUCGGCACACCUGGGCAAGGCCUCACUGUGAUGACGCUUGCGUAUAUAUUAUUCGGGGUGGAUAAGCGGAGUGAAAUUGUAGCUGGUAGGGGAGGCAUGAACUUCACAACGUACCCUUGUCAAUUUAGCGGCCGCCAAACCGCACCUCCUCAUCACGACCCGAUACACUCCCACGCGCUGCACCUAGCGUCCCUAGCACACACGCGCACAAAACCCGCCGCCAUUGCUGCCGGCGUCCUAUGAUUUGAGGGGCUCAGCCCCUUUUCCCGUGACCGGGGAACACUUGUCAAUUAAGCGCAUAGCAGCGCCCGAACCUCACUACUGUUUCAGAUGCAUGCGUGCCAGUGUACGCUUGUACCGUGCAUGUGAGUAGAAGAAGUUGCGGUUGCCGGCACCACAUGGGAGCUGGCAUGUCUGGAUUAACCACUCCGGGUCCUUCAUACGUGGUGAGACUGCCAAGGCGCGAUUGGUGUGUCGAGCUGGGGCCUAGGACGAGGUGUGCGAGUCUCGCCCUCACCUGUAGAGGGUUGCCAUGUGCGCGGGACCGGGUGGCGCGCAACUACGGGUAUCGUAGCAGAGGCGGGUAAGGAGCUGUGGAUGGGAGCACUGGCUGCUGUGGUCGCCUGUUGGGAGGGCCAUGGUUGCACACAGGGUCCACGUUGGCAUCGAAGUGGGGGGAGGGCAAGUCGGUGGCAGCAGGCCUGAUACAGUGCUCGUAUCUUCCAUCUACACUGUAGAAAUCUGCCCAAAAUCCGCCGAAGGCGGAGAAAAAUUGAUGGGUUUGGGUGCCACGCAUCUACGCAGUGUAGACGGUUUUGGCCGGUUUUGGCGCAAAAAUGGGGGAAGCGUAGACGUUUUGGGGGGCUUGGGGGCUUAAGUGUAGAUGCCGCGGUCAGGGUCAUCUACGCAUGUGUAGAUGCCGGGUGCCUGAGGGCAUCUACAAGAUACGAGCAUCUACAAGAUACGAGCCCUGAUACUAGCGAGGCGGAUUGUAAAAGCAACGUCCUAUCUUGCUACGGCGGUGGCACUGUCUGGCUUGGGUCGGCGUCGGGCGACAUGCAGACGGGGUUUGUGUUAAGUCGUGUUAUGUGACUUAUGUCGCGUAGAUCACGCGGGGCAGUGCAAGGCGUAUCUACUUCGGGAGGGGUGGAAGAAUAGCUGAUGAUGUCAUCCACUGCGUGCGGGUCUGUGCACAGGUGCACGUACGGGAUGACUUGCCUGCAUAGCCAGGAGCGCGAGGCCAGGGUGACCAAAUUGAGCAGUGAAUGGCAGAUGUGGGGUGCCAGCGGUCCUGGGCAGCGCGUGACGUGCCAGGUGUGGGGCGGGGGCCGGGUGGGGGCGGUCGGCCACUGCGCCCAUGCAGGGGAGGCCCAGGGGAGGCCCUUCCCUGACUGCGUCGACUGCGGCCGGCCUUGACAAAAAGGUGGCUUUCCCUCGCAAGGGAAAAGUGGGCUGAGCCCACGCCACGUCCGCCGUCUGAGGCCGAAGGUUCCGGAACUACCUCAUCUCCCGGACAUAGCCUGGGUCGGUUCGUACAGGGAGGUGAGGUAGACGCUUGCAGCCUCAGACUGGAGGCGUGGCGUGGGCUCAGCCCACUUUUCCCUGGCGAGGGGAACCACGUAUCUUGUCCUCAAUGCUCAAUCGCUGCCGUGCCUAUAGUCAACUAUAAGUAGCGGCUAGGGCGUCUCCACGGGGGCUAGAAACCGGUCUCAGUCAAGGUUGCUCCUGGGUAGGGUUUUGGCCACAUGGGUGGUGGGCGGCCGAGCAACCUUUCAGAGACCAAAAGGCCUCUGCUGGAACGUACUCAUCACGAAUAUUACGACCACCACACAAUCAAUGAUACGCUGCAGGGCAAACUACUGACGCGGGUGGAACUGUACAAGGGUGCUUCAGUUGCAGACCUGACGCAGCGCUUGUUUGGCGAGUUAAAUUGUUUUCAGUAUAGAGAGCAUGAUGAGUUACUAGCUGCAGUGCGUCAACCCUGACGCGUGGUCCAGGACUGGAUUUUGUCCUCAGAUCAUAGCACGCGGCGAGUAACCCAACGGUGCUAUAUCCCCAAAUGCGUGUACUUGCAAUACGAUACCUAUACAAAUUAUCAUAGUCAUUUCGUAUUCGAUAUCCGGGCGCCAGCCGGCACCUUUCCGGGUGACAAGUCACGUUCACUCGAGCCACGUUCGAAAUGUUAUGUUGUAUAUUCAAGGCGUUCGCGGGUAUUGGUACUGACGAGAAGCAAGAUGAUGCGUUGUGCGGUGGCCGCGCGGCCGACCCAUCGAGCACAGCGCAACCCGCAAGUGCAGGCCGCGCGAGUGCAUUAUCCAGCGCUUCGGGUGGUAGUACAAUGUGCAUGGAUACGGACUGUUGCAGCGCGGCGCCUAUAAUGACGGGGUUAGCAAGCAUCAAUGCGCUUUCGCAAAGGGCCUCUGCGGCAUGUAAGCUCUUAUCACUGACUGCGGGCGCUGGAAAUUGGUUCGAUCGCAUGCAAAGCGGACUGCUUGCGAUUGAGACGACGGUCGGCAUCGGCCCCGUCGGGUGAGUCAUCUGACGAAACCACGCUGAGCGUGUGCAACACAUUGCUAAAGCGGAAGAAACCCCGACGCUCGAUUGCUCCUGACUGGAUACAAACAGCGACUGUGCGGGUCCGUAUUCAUGUCCGUAUGUUAACACGCGACCAACACGAACGUGGAACCCCUGCCUGCAGGCUAGCCCUGUUCCACCACACAUCGGACGCCAGCCCGUUCGGUACGUCUCACACCGCCGGCUGGCUGUGCCGGAGCAAUGGGGGCGCAGUAUCAGCGGCUGGCGGCGGCGGCGGCCCCUCCGCCAGCUGCUGGCUGCCGCAGCUGCACGAGGAGCUGAGUGCGCUCAUGACGGCGGCGGGGAUGGCGCAUCAGGUGAGGGGAAGCCGAGGGGCGGGGAGUGUUGUGGGAUGUCAGAGUCUCAGAUGUCGGUUUUAGGCCUUUGAAGUGCCUGAUUGGUUGAGGUUUCACUGCUUGCUACCUACCUACCUCGCGCCUGUCACUGUGCAGCCUCCGGAGUCGCACGUGGUGGUGGUGAGCCCGGUGGCGUGCGAGGAGGCUUUGUCAGGGCUCCUGGGGUUGGGCUCGGGCGGGGUGGUGGUCACAGCCUCCACUGUCCCGCUCGUGCUGGUGCCCGGGGAGCAGCUGGCGCUUCCGGUGCUUGACCGCACCGGGCGUCUGGCGGCGGCGCUGCUGCUGGGUCUCGGGGACUUCCAGCCGCAUGCUGGUCCUGCUGCUGCUACCGGGGGUCUGCAGCUGACGUCAACAGACGUGGCGGAGCUUCAGCGGCUGGCGCAGUUCUUUGGUUACGGCAUGUUUGCGGACCCUGAACAUACAGCCUUCCUGACCAAGGUGGGUUAGUGUUUUACCCUCGCUCUUUUAGCCGCGCCAAACGUGCCGACUUAUGCUAUAAGGAUGCCGUUGCGCCGCGUGUUCCCAACUUACCACGAAGCCCGACUCCCCGUGUUUACAUCCGCGCUCCCGCCUCUCCCACCGCCACGCCUCCCUCCUCACUCCCGUCAGGUUGCCUCCCACCUGUCCUCCGCCUCCGUCAGCCUCAGCCUGCACGACCUGGUGUGUGCGGUGCUGGACGCGGUGCCCGACCUGCUGGCCGCAAAGACGGGACUCACACGGCCGCACGCGCUCAUGGCAGCAACCACCGCGCCGGCGCCACCAGCUGCUGUGACGGGUCGCGGCAGCUACGGCGGUGACUCCUUGCCGUUUUACCCCGGCACCACCACCGCUUCCGCUACGGCUGUCGGCUGCCCACCACCGCUGCUAACAUCGGCAGUGUCCCUGGCGUCGCCAUCCUCAGCAGCCACCGCCACCAGCACAGCGGCUGUUGUUUUCGUGCCGAAACCCGGCGUUUUCACACAGCCGCUGUCUGUCACUGCGCCCCCGCCUCAGCAUCACGGGCAAGGGCUGGACGGCGGCGGUGAGUGUGAUGACCCCCUGCUGCGGCUGAUGGACACGCUGACAUCGCCCCGCCUGGGCGCUGCUGCUGCUGCUGCUGCUGCUGCGGCGGCGGCGGCGGCGGCGGCGGUGGCUACGGGUGCGGGCUCCGGCCACACUGCGGCACACCACACGGCCUCGCCGUUUUCAGCGGCAGCAGUAGGGUCGCAGCCGCACGCCGGUCAUCACGCCAACGGCAGCCCGCACCCGGCAACAACGGCAAGCGUGAACACACGCAGCGGCGGCGGCAAGCUCCUCGAGGGCGGGGCGGGCGGAAUUCAGGGUCUGCUGGGCGAGGGUGUGGGACUCGGGAGUGCCUCGGACCUGCACCUACUGCUGGGCUCGCUCACGCCAGGCGGCGGCGGUGCAGAUGUAGGCGGUGCGUGGGGUGAGCGGCCGCAGCCGCCGCCGCGCCCCGCCCGAGUCAAGGCCGUGCGACUGCCGCUUUCCGACACCCUGUUGCAGGACACCCUCCGGUGAGGCACCGACUGCGACACUGGUGGCCACUGAGCCUGUCACUGAUCUGUUGUGCGGCAGGCGGCACGUCGGCAUGGCAUUCAGUAGCACAAUUGCCGGGCUUCCUGUCCGCCCCCCGCGCCAUCUCAGGUCGGCGUCGCUGUCCACAAGCACGCCCGGGCCGACAUCCUACGCCUCCGGUUCUACCUCGCUCAACAUGCCGGCUUGGCCAUCUGCCCCGCUGCCGCCGCACCUGCCCCGCGCUCGGCCGCCCGCAGCAGUAGCCGCACCGGUGGUGGGCGGUUUCAACAAGGGCAACACUGCUGCUUGGCCACAAGUGCCCCCGGCUGCCUCUGGGCCUCUGGGCACAGUCAGCAGCGCCGGAGCUGCUGCCGUCGGCAGGCUCCCGCGGUCGUCGCUGCCAGCAGUCGUGGUCAAGGUGGUGUCCGAUGCGAGCAGCCACGUGCUCUGUGAGUCGCAGCCGCCGCGGGAUGUCCGCAUGUGCGGAAACGCCCUCGCAGGGCUACUGGCAGCAGCAAGUGGUGCUGGCGCCACGGCGCCACUGCAAGCGCCUGGAGCCAAGUCCAGUGCUUCAGGGCAGCAGCAGCACCAGCUCUCGGUGUCGCCUGGCACCCUACUGCUCUGUGUUGAGGCCGCUCCCACCCUUGCUUCUGCUCCGGCGUCUUCGGCUGAGACCGGCGCGUGGGGCGGCGGGCCGCUGCUGGCUCCGGCCCCCGCCCCGCCGCUGUCCUGUGCCUCCACCGCGGACGCAUCCGCCCUGCCGCCCAGCACGGCCCUGCUCAGCUCCCUGGCUAGCGGGCUGGGCGGCGGCGCAGACGGCGGCCGCAGCCUGCUGCCGGGCGGUGGGUCUGCAGCGUCCACGUGGGGCCACGGCUACGGCUACAGCUGCAGCAACCUGAGCGGCUGCCUGAGGCCGUCCGCCGGGGCCCCACCGCCAGCGGCUGGGGGCGGCUACGGACUCCAGCAUUCAGGACAUGCCCAGCAGCAGCACCAGCAGCAGGCGCGAGCCUCUCUGUGCCCCGGCCCCGGUCAGCUGGGCGUGUACGUGGUGUUUGCGGAGGUGCUGCCGCGCGGGCUGCUGGAGCUGGCGGCCAGGGAGCUGGCGGCAGUCAUGCCGGUGAGGAGGAGCGCAGGGCCGCGGGGCCCGGCAGGGCGGAGCGGCGGAGGGUGUACGAUGUGGAUGUCUGUACAUACGAGGGGCAACUGGCCAUUGGUUGGGGCAAAUGUGUAGGAUGCAAACCCCCAAAGUUCGUAAACCCAUGCUGAUGUCUGCCUCCUCUUCACUCCUUAGAUCAUCUUCAGCACGUUCCGUGAGUCCCUCGCCGCCUCCGCCACCGCUGCUGCCGUAACUGCCGCCGCCACCACUACUGCGACCAGCUGCUUCACUGGCGGCGGCGCGACCUCACCGCUGCCAGAUCCGCUGCUGCACGACACCAUGGCUGCCGCCCGCUGUCACGGAGCGCCCGCCGCCCAGCUGGCGGCGGACUGGCAGGCGCUGCACUGCCAGCUCACAGGACAGCCGGUGCCGCCGCCGCCGCCGCCGCCGCCGCGGAUGCCCGUCCCGCUGGGACUGCCAUCAUCAGCAGCCGCGCCAGCGGUGACCAGCGGCUGUGGCCUAGCGCGCGCCUCCCCCGCAACCGCCGCCGGCAUCAUGACGCCGCCGCCGCAGCCAGCACACCACCAGCUGCCGGUGUCCUGUCCCAGUGGCAACAACGUGCUGGCGGCGGCGGCGGCGGCGGCGGCGGCGGCCAACGGCUCCGUGCUGUCCACCGUGUCCGAGGACGGGCUGGCGGCGCCAGCGGCGGCUGCAGCGGCGGCAGUGGCGGACAGUGACGUGGACACAUCAGAGCUGUUGGAUGCAGUGCAGUCGGCGGCGGCGCCGUCUCUGCCGCCUUCUGCGGCGCCCAUCGUCGCGCACAGCAGUGACCCGCUGGUACGGCGCCUGAGCCUGAGCCGCGCCAUCAUGGGCGGCGGUGGCGGCGGGACCAACAGCGCCGCGGCGGCCUUGCGCUGCCCCGUCAGUCCAGGCAGCCGCUCGGCCUCUGGCAAUCCUAGCGCUGCCGACAACCGCGCGGCGAGCGGCGGCAGCAGCCGCCACCGCCGCAGCAGCUUGUGGGGAGCCCCGCCGGCUCAGUCGCAACUCCAGCCUCCGUUGCAGCGGCACCGGGCCAGUGGCACGCACGUGGCGGCAGCCGCUGUGUUCCCCGAGGCAGGAGGGGACGACCUUGCUAUCCCCCGGGUGGCUGGAGACCGGUCGCCAGCCGCGGCCGACUGGGGCCUGGCUGGCGGUGCCGGUGCUGGGGCUGCACGGCCCGCCAGCAGCAGCAUCCGCCGCCAUGCAGCACCAAGCAGUCCCAGCGGUGCUGCUGUGGCAGCGAACAGCCUGGGCCUCGUGCGGCGCGGCAGUGGCCUGAUGGAGGCCCUGCAACGCAAGCUGCGUGGCGGCAGUAGCGGGCAGCAGCAGCAGCGUGCAGCGCCUUCCUCGCCGCCUGCCGCACUGCCUGUGUUACCUGCAGUCCAACAGAGCCAUCCGCAGCUGCACGUGAGUCGGACCAGCCUGGCCCUGGAUGCAUCAGUGCGCUCGCAGCAGCAGCAGCAGCCGGAUGCUCCAGCAGCAGCAUGUGCUGGAGCCACACCGGCGGGCAGCAACAGCAGCAGCCUCCAACCCGGUUGUGGCCGUGUUGCAGCGGCAGUGGCAUUGGCAGCAGCUGCAGGCUCUGGAGCCGGCAGCCUGAAUCUCCGCGCUGGAACCGGCACUGCUGGCGCCGGCGCCGGCCGAUCGGCUCCCCGCCGCAGCCGGACCUCCCAGGGUCUCAACAGCGGCGGGCACGGCACAGCGGCGCCCCACUCACUCUUCCUGGUGUCUCCUGGGUCCGCCGCAUCUGCCUUCAGCCGCUCCGGCCACCAAGGCAAUGCGCUGCGCCGGCGCUCCACCCUCAGCGCCAUGCUGCCCAGCCUGCAACACAUUCACCUGGUGGCCCAGCAGCAGCAGCUGCAGCAGAGGGCGCUGCUGGCGUCAAGUCCGGCGCUGUUCCUGGAGCAGGCGGCGGAGGUGGAGGCCGCAGUGGCGCCGCCGCCCACUGAGGCUCUGCUGGCGGCCAUGCGGCGGCGGCUGUCCACCGCCCUCACUUCGCACGAGGAGGGACAGCAGGCAAAGUGAGCGGGCUGGUAGGGGGAGCGGAGGUGCUUUCCGGGGUGUGCAACAGUGCAGCGUGCGGUAUGUAUGCUUGCGGCUGCUGAAUCGUAUGGCGUGUGCGCGGCUGGCGCCUGCAUCUAUGCUGGUGAAGGCUGAGUGUUUGCUCUUGUUCCUGCUACCCUGCACGCUGACAGGGCUGCUGUGAGUCAAGAUAUUGCGGCGUUGGAGCUGUUGGAGAUGCUGGGUAAGUCCACAAGGAGGCAGGUCGCAUUGUCACAGGCACGCAGCAACAGGGAGACGGCAGUCUCCUCUAGCGCUCCAGUAUGGCAGUUCGUGGCCCCUGCGACCAAAGCGGAUCGCCCUACCCGACAAACCCUCCUCACGCUCUGUAGCUAAACCUCACGAUGCUCAUCAAUCCGGAGUAACCAGUACCCUCUUGCAUUCGCACGUGCCUCGUCAGGCCACGGCGGCCAGGGUGUGGUGUUCCGCGGCACGCUGCACGGGCUAGAGGUGGCGGUCAAGGUGCUGGAGCAGAAGUCCCCCACGGCCGCAAAGGACAACUGCAAAGACAACCAGGCAGUGGCAGCGGAUGCAGGCGCCGAUGCCGCCGGAAAGGAAGGCGCGGAGGCAGGGGCGGAGGUGGAAGCGGAGGGUGUCGCAAGCAAGGAGGAGGAGGAGCUGGCACGCACGGUGAGUGGCUGGGGGCAGCAGGCUGUCAAGUGUGUGAAUGACAGUCAUGCAGUACGCGCCCACGUGUCGCAUGCAUGUGUGUUCACCGCGUGCUCGUCCGACUUUUCUCCCAAAUCAGCAUGUAGCCCACCGCCCACUCUUACCGCCCACUCUUACCGCCCCUCCUGCCCCCCCUUCCUGAACUAAUCAUGAAUGUAACCCCCCGCUGUCUCUGCUCAGGCCAAGCGCAGUGCUAUGGAGCUGGCGGUGGCCAGUGUGGUCAGGUGGGGGCAGGGGAUAGGGGGCGCGGCGGGAGGGCCCUGCCCUGCAGGAAGACGAAGACCUGCGAAGUUGUGGGUGCGAGAAGGGAGGCUAACAGUACGGUACAGCUGCCCCCGUAUCUACAGGAAGUCCUAGCCCCAGCACUGCUGCUCUCAUGCCCCGCCGCGUCGUCACACGGCCCCCACCCGCCAUGCCUUCACUGCCCCCGUGUGUGCCGUGCCACCCCCUGCCCGCAGCCACCCCUACAUCGUGCAGGUGUACGCAGCCUUCAGCGACGUGGCGGUGGUGCGGCACCGCGACGCCGCCGCAGAGGCCGUGCUGCGCCUGUGCGCGGCAGACGACCUGCGUGCAGUGGGCAUUGCGCCGGGUGAGCGCCGGGCGCCUCGCUACCCCAGCGCUGUGUGCGCAGUUCCCACCCAUGAAUGCACAGCUGCUGAUGGAGCAUUGCGGUCGUAUCACGAUCAUUAGGGCAGUAAUGUUUAACUGGCAGUAAUACGCAGCGCAACUUUGAACCGGUGUGUCGGGUGUCAAUGUGAACGUCCAUGCCCCUUCGCCCACCCGCCGCCCUCCACCCACCUGACAGACCCCAUCAACCAGGUCCUGUGCCUCGAGGUGCGUGUGCGCGGUACACCCGGCCCCAGCGAUGCACAGGCUGCUGGCGCACAUACAUUGUGGCGGCUUUUAGGGAGACCGGUGGAAGGCUUGCACUGUUGCAAUCCGCAUCCCUUGUGCUAAUGCCGGCCCGCACGUGCCUACCUGUCACAGCGAGUUUCCGUCUCUAGCCCGAACCUUUCCAGUUUGCUUAUAACCUCGCAAUCCGCCGUGGUGCAUGCGUGUUCCUUUGCAGUUUUGCGACUCGGGCUCCCUGGCAAGCAAGGUGCGCGCCGGCGCGUUCCACCAGCCGUGCGCCUCCAGCGCCGAGCAGGGCGCCAUGUGGCCGGCGCUGGUGCCCCUGUACACGAGCCUGCUGGAGGUGGCGCUGGCGCUGCGGCACAUGCACUCCAAGCGCCUGGUGCACUGCGACGUCAAGGCCGCCAACGUGCUGCUCAAGAGCUCGGCAAGGGACCCCCGCGGCUGGAGCUGCAAGCUGAGCGACUUUGGAUGGUGCGUGCGCGCGUGCGCAUAUGAUCAUACAAUGAUGCAGCACCACCGCUGUGUGGGCAGGGCGGCAGGCGUGGUGACGGUUGACUGCCGCAAGCGUAUGUUUAAGUUGCUUGGGUGCAAGUGCUGUGUGCUGCCCUGCAAUGGGCCUCGCCUCUUGUCUGCAAUACCCACCCAGUCAUCUGUACCGCCUCUGCCACGUGCUAACACCCCAUGGCCGGCCAUGUGCGCCGCUCGCUUGCUCCCUGCCCCGCAGCGUGCGUAUCCUGAACGAGGAGGGGCCGGACGGGCAGCCCGGCUUCCGGUCCGCGCACCCGCACGGCACCGUGCCAUACAUGCCACCUGGUGAGCGGGUGCGGAUGGACGCAGCCGUCAUCAUCAUGGGAACCCGCCUACCUUGUCCCGCGCUGCGCCAGCUGCCAGCUGCCAGCUGCCUGUUGCGCAGCGCGCGCAGGUCUUGCGUGCGCUUCUUGCGCAUGAGGGCCAUCACCUCAGCAGAACACCUGCAAUCGGGCUUGCCUGACAUUUUGCUUGGCCCGCUGCUGCGUACGUCAACCUCCUGCCUGCCGCGAACAGAGUGCUUCCUGGGCGCCCGCAUGCUGCUGGGCACCUCAGUGGACGUGUACGGUGAGUGCGACUGGGAACAGCUGCAUGCAUGUGUAUGUGGUGCAUGGGGCCGAUUGAUGUGGAGUAGCAGCCUCAUAGCGCCAGCCUGGUUAGCCCACUGCGCUCUUGGCUAACCAGCUGUUGCGGUUGCUGCUGCCUGUGUGCAUGGCUAUCGACGGUGCCUGUACCCCUGACAGCGUUUGGAGUGCUGAUGUGGUGAGUGCGCAGGCAGACACGCGGUGUCAUUUCCGCGCCUGACCUUCUGUACUGCUUUGCUUUGCUUGUCAGCUCUGUUGCUGUGCUUUUCCUGUUGACGUACGCACACGGUCUGUUCUCAGUACCAGCUCUGCCUUGCCUACUUAGUGCUGUCGCUGCUGACGUGGCUAUCGCUGCUGUCUGUUGUGUAAGGGCCACCCCUCUGACCUACCUCCUGCUGCGUGCCUGCUGCCUCGGUCUGCAGGGAGCUCCUGUACGCACGGACGCCUUUCAAGGGCAUGGAGAAGAAGGCAAGCCAUGGCGCGCGCGUGCAUUCCUGGCCAUCAGUGGUCUUACCAGGCGGGGUCUCACUACUACCGUGCUGGACUCUUUUCCUGCCUCACCUGCCGCCCGCUGCCCCCCAUCCACCACAGGACAUCGCCUUCCAGGUGGUCCACGCCGGCCUGCGCCCCGCCUUCCAGCCCCUGGCGCCGCCCGCCUACGUGCACCUGGCGGAGUGCUGCAUGGCGGCGCAGCCCCGGGCCAGGCCCACUGCGCUGGCGCUGGUGGCGGAGUUGCAGCAGCUGCUGGCGGAGGCGGUGGAGGCGGAGGGCGGCGGAGGGCGCGGCGUCUCCGUGGCGCUUGCCAUGCAGCUGUCUGCUGUGAGCUAGACUGAACGGUGGAAUCAUGUAGGUUACGCUGCAGGAUCCGGAGUAGUAGACCAGUGCCUAUCUACACAUGCAGUACUGUAGUAUGAUGGGCACUGCGGCAAGGCGGAGCACAUUGCUACUGUUGCGCUAGCUGUUUGUGAUGACAGCACCACUCGCUCAUUCGGAACGCGACUGCCCGCCACGGUACCUAGCACAUUGGGUGGUGCUCGGAUUCUCGCAAGCAAUGCGUGAGGCACGCUCAUGCAUCGAAGAAGCUAAGAGAUGCAUCGUGUUUGGGGCAGCAGUACAAAGACGACGUGACGUGCUUGUGUUGCAUAUCGAGUGCGCUACGCUUGCCUAGUGUCGGUCAGAUAAGACAGCGGCAGUACGGUGUGCGCGUGGGGAGCGCCGGAGAGCAUGCCUAGCUCAGCGCAAGCUCGCUGUUCUUCACAGCUUAAUUAUUGCGCAGUUAUCACAUGUACAGUUUAUUGUUAGUCUAUUGCGAAGUUAAGUUCUUCUGUUGAUGCUUUGCAACACGCGGAACAGUAUGGUGAGUGGCCAAGGCCCCAGGGGCUUGGGGUGUCGGGUUUGAAUGGGACCUCGAGCAUUGUCAUUCAUGCUGCAGUACCUCCAACUGCUAAGUAUGCAGUCUAUGGUGUGGUGCCAUUUGCAGACUUCGUGGGAAUGAGGGCGGAGCCAUUGGAUGCAUGUACUGGGGCUGGGGUCGGGGGCAACCAAGGGUAUACUGUCAUGGUGGAUGUUGUCAUGGUUGCGCGGGGCAUCGCCCAAAUGGCCCAAAUUGCGUAAUUCAGAACAGUAGGAUAGCAGGGUGUGUGAAUAUUUGUAAAAUAAUCAACAUGUGUGUGUGUGAGUUGGUGUGUGUGUCUGUGUGCAUGCGUGCGUGCGUGUGAGUGAGAGAGGAUACAUGAUGGAUAAAGUAUGCCAUGUGGCACGAGUGGGAGAGCGUGUGUGUGCAUCGUAUGUCGUAGUGAAGCGGGCACAGGGGCUAAUGGAACAGAACAAACCGCAGAUGUAGGGUGUGUUACAGAUCACAGCAAAGACUGAGUGGGUCAGCGGUGUGGGUCAGGGGAUCCCCUGGUGUGGGUGUUACGGCACUGUGCGUAUGUGCAGGGGUGUGCAUCCCCGCGUAUGUGCGCGUCAAUUUAUGUACACUUGCGCAGAUUUGGGGUAUCGGGUGCAAAGCACGUGCUCGGCCGGUCGACUCGUAUGUAUAACUUUCUCUGCUUAGGGUCUAGCAAGGGACGAGCCCUGCUGCCCCCAUGCUGUACUGCUGCUGCUGAUAAGGAUAUCACAAGGUGUGCAUCUUGGAGCCGUCCUUGUUGGCAGGCGCCGUGACUCCGUGAGGCCGUGUGGGUCUGGUUACCUCGGCUCCUUUGGGAAGUGCGGGCUGUCUCCCUCCCUCCCGCGGAAGCCCCGAUUGGCGAUUGCUCACACGAACCAAAUCCUGGGCGGAGGACUAUCCAGGGGAUUCGUAUUCUAGUGUCAGGGUCAGGAGGCGUUAGCAACGGAUUAGGUGCCUGGCUUGCGGUCAAGGCCGGACAGAACCAUGUAACCCACUGCCAUGCCCCCCUGUGCUUGUCACGAUCACUUUAGCAGGCUUCAGCUUCACACCGUACCCUGCAAUCGCAAGGUGGAGGGGUCGGGCAAAUUCCUGGGGUACGGGGCAAAAAGGCACAGGCGAGCUUCGCACUCAAAUAGCGUCCUUCAGUAGACUGCGUGCCCUGACCAGUGACCACACACCUACUACAGUGCCCUCCACGGGUGCGACAUGCCCCCACGGUGUCAGGGCCAUUCGUGGCUCUCGCCAGCACGCAUCACCGACCCAUGCAAACCGUGCAAACGGCACGCGGCCCGGCAUGUGCAAUGAGCUAGCAUGGAUAUCAGGAUCUGGUGGAUUCCUCUGAGCAGGCCGACGCAACCAUUUGGAAGGGCACUGUGGAUCUAGGUGGUACCGCUCGAGCGAGGCGAGCAAAGCCCAGAUCGGCCCCAGGCGCGUGUACCCUGGCGUACCCCGCGCCAACCGUACGUGGCGCCAACCGCUCAUAGGUAAAUGAAACGCCAGGACAUAGCAAAAGUUUCAAGAUUGACAAGCGCGAGAUUUUCUUCGCUGCUGUCCACCCUAUGGCUCGGUCGAAGGGAGGCGCAGGAGCAGCGGCAGCGGCAGUGUGAGGAGCUGACAGCGGCGGCCAUGGCCAAGCAGCGCGAACUGGAGGGCCUGACGGCCGCGUGUGAACGUCAGCGGCAGGAGUACACGGAAAAGGAGGAGCUGAUCGCGGCCAUGGAGGAGUACGUCACCCAGAAACAGACCAGUGGCAUGGCACUCCUCCGACAGCUCCAGACCGAUACGUCCAGUGCAGAGCAACAGCUGCAGCAGCUGCGCGGCCAGGUCGCGGCCGAGGCGCAGCGUCACCGGGAGGCGCAGGAGCAGCGGCAGCGGCAGUGUGAGAAGCCGCGCAACCUGAUGGAGCAGCUGCCGUUGCCGCAACAAAAGCCGUAUAGGCCCCCGCUCUUUUCCCGAUUCCUAUACCCUGAGGACCUGGAGGAGAUGUAGGAGCACUACUAGGCCUGACGGUGGUGGGUGACGGACGCUCAGUGGUGGGCCUGACGGGCGCUCAGUGGCAGUGUUGGGUACAGUUUGCUUGCGCCGCGAAAUGUGUGAGGCUGGGUGAUGCGUGCUGGGUGAGGCUGGGUGAUGCGUCGGAUGUGCAGGUGGAGAAGUAGGUGAAAUUUAACAAUGAUAUGCGCCAAGGGACAUGGGCGCUGAGGGAGGCUGGGUGAUGGGUGGUGCUGGGUGAUGCUGGGUGACGCUGGGUGAUGCGUGCUGGGUGAUCGUGCUGUCAACGAAGCAGCUUAGUUUCGCGGGUAACUGCGGGUAACUGUUUACAACUACCAGGUGCUCGCCACGCGAGGCGCAAUCUCACAAGUUAAAAGAGGUCUGGCUGACUCAUUGAGAGAAUUAUAUAAUUGUGAGCAAGCGCGAAAGUCUGACCGCAAACCCGGCUUGGCCUCGUGGUCUGCGCGCUCCCCUAAUCCCCUAAAGUCUUGCGACCGCGCAUUCUCAAUAUAUAUGAGUAUCAUACUCGGCGACGUACUGCCACACGGCGCCAAAAUGCAGCCACACUUGGAGCUCGCCGACGACGUUCUGGACCGUAUCUUCUUGCACCUGUCUCCAAAUGAGCUGUCGUCCAGUAUCCGGCUUCUGAGCAAGAGCUGGGCUGCCCGAUACGCAUAUAUGACCCACAUCAGCCUACGUGUCGCGGUGCCGCGCCAUGCCUUCCGCUGGCGCUUCACUGUCGCCAUUGCAGCUGCCCUGCCGCUGCGCACCCGCCGCGAGCUCCUGUGCGCCACGGCUGCCUCCGGGGACGUCUCCAACCUAGAGCAUGCGCUGGAGGUGACGGGGCUGGACCUGGGUGCCGCCGCCACCGCCACUGCCCUGCUGGCCGCGGCAGCUUGCGCGGAGCCGCCUGGCGGCAUGGCGGUGACGGCGUUCCUGCUGCACCGGAUGGGCCGCAGCCAGCAGCACCAGCAGGACACGCGGUCAGGGUGGCUGGGACAGCUGUGUCAGAGGUGUCACGCCUGGUGCAGUUCUGGCUCGAAAGCAUCACUGGUUGAGGUGGUCGAGCCCGCCCUGUGCGCGGCGGCGGCGGCAGGAUGGAAGGAGUCGUGCGCGCUGCUUCUGGGCCGGCUCAUGGGAGGUGGGGCCGGCCAGUGCAGCUCAGCGGACACGGAGGGUCAUGGAGAGGAGCUGAUCGAGGCGGAGACGUCCGCACAGAUUCCAGACAUAGGCCGCCGCCAGCAGCAACCGCUCGUGCUGCCGACAACAAUAGCACUUAGUCGGCACAUUGGGAAGGCAGUGCUGGCGGCGCUGCGAGGCGGCCACCUGCCGCUGGCGGCGUUGCUGCAGGAGCAACAGCACCAGCUGCACCAGGGGCGCCGGCCGCAGCUGCAGAGGCUUCAGUCUCAGGCCGCAAUGGUGGAGGUCGCUGCUAACACUGCUGCCGCAAGCGGGGCGGCUGCAGGUGACGGCGCGAUGGCAGCAACAACCGGUGACGAGUGGGCGGCGCUGCUGGAGGCUGCGGCGGCUGGCCUUGCGCUGCGGCCGCUGCAGCUCGUGGUCCUGUGCGGCGGCGACCUGCGCAAAGCUACAGCGUGGGUGCAGGAGCAAACCGCCCAGAUGACAGAUAGCGAGCUAGCCGCGGCCGCAGCUGCAGCGGCGGCGGCACACACACGCCAGCUGGCUACCUGGCAGCUAUCAGCUGUGGUGUCUGCGGCUGCGGGCAGCCUGCAGGCUGUGGGGUCAUGGGCUGACAAGCUGGACUGGCUGACGACAGAGCCGCCGCGGGGCCUAGGCUUCCCGCGCCCUGCUGCUGCAGCGGUAGCAGUCGUGGCGUCUGCAGGCAGCGGGAUGGAGGCGGCUGAGGUGGCGCUGCAGCGGCUGCAGUGGCUGCGUGGUGCUGGAUAUCCACUCGAUCCCAGGGUAGUAGUGGGGGCUGCAGCAAGGCGUAGUGAUUUGCGCCUACUGGAGGCAUUGCUGCGAGACCCGAGCGGACAUGUGCGCCCGGGCCGGGAGGCGGCGUACGCGGCGGCGGCUGCAGCCGCCAGGACUGCAGUGCUACCGCCACCAGCGGAUGCUACUGAUGCUGUUGGUGAGAUGGAAGGCGCGUAUGGCCACGGGCAGGUGGCUUGUGGCAUGAGCAAAGUGAGUGGCGUGCCGGCACUGCGGCUGCUGCACAAGUACGGUUGUGCCAUUGAGCCGUACGGCACCCUGCUGGUGGCGGCGGAGUCUGGCGACCUGGCCGCGGUGCGGUGGCUGCUAACGGGCCAGCAGGACGAGCAGGAGGCCCCAGAGGAGGGCGGCGAGCACAAUAGGGGCGGUGCCACAACUACCUCCCCGGUAGCGUCGCAAGUCCGGCUGGACGCGGAGGUGAUGGGCGCUGCGGCGAGCUCAGGUGCGUGAGGGUCCGAGACGUACCGUAGUGUAAUCUGCCAGAAUGUGCCAAGCAACCACCACCAUUCUUGAGCUGCUCCCCUGACGGCUGACACGCUUGCCCCGCCACCCGCCAGGCCACGUGCCGCUCAUGUCCUGGCUGCUGCGCCGCCGCGGCUGCGCCAUGGACAGAGACACCUUCCGUCGUUGCGCCGCGGGCGGCAGUGUAGCGGCGCUGCGGUGGCUGGCGGCGGCUGGCUGUGACAUUGGGGUGAGCAUCCGCACCAGGAAAGGCUGGGAGCAACGGCAGACUGCCGCGCGCGAUCCCGGGUACUCUGUGUUUGCAGUUGCGGAUGCACAUACGCCCCCUCUUGCUGCGGCUGCCCGCGCAGGACGACGGUGGUGCCUACGCCGCCGCCGCCGGCCAGGGUGACCGCCUGGUGGCCGCCGCCCUGCAGCAGCUGGGCUGCCGUAGGCCUGCAGGCGCCGAAGGGGCGAACACCGCCACGACGACAGGCUAUGCCAGGAGCGGGGGCAUGCGCCUCAGUGGGGGCGCAGGGGGCUACGGCGUGCGGCCUCCCUCUCUGGCCUAGAUCGGCACAUAAGGUUAUGGGUUGUAGCAACUAGGCGAUUUUCGUGCUCGUCAGCAGCUCGUGGCUUCCCUUCGCUCGCCCCGCGCAGAGUGGUGAGGCGCGUCGCCGGCGGCGUAUGUAGGACCUCUACGCGUGCCCCUUCGCGCGGGCCUUUGCCUGCCUGGCAACAAUGCGUAUCCGCAUUGGGCUGUAGGCCUGAGGCCUUCGUAAACAGUUUGUUUACCCUGCAAAUACUAGCUCUGGCAUGUGUAGAAGACUCGAGUGGAUGCGUAGCACCAAUGCUGUGACACGUUGCUCAAGGUGGAACGUGUUAGCUUCAGCUUUAACGCUUUAGCUUGCAGUUCCUGGUGGCUGUUGGAUACAACACGGUGUUUGAGCAUGUAUUCCCGCCGGCCCGGAGUGUGCACCAAGUUGGUAGAACCGGUUAAGACCCAGAACCAGUUCAGAGCCGCCCACAUGCUAGGUGUGGCGUACGUGCAGAGCCAGAGCGCACAACCGAAGCGCGCCUGAUUCACCACAAAGACACAAGUAACAUGCAGCUUUGGUACAACUGUCAAAACAUGCCCUGAAUGUCACAGACGUAUAAUAACAAGGAGGUGGCUGCCUUAGGGAGGCAGGAAAAGGGCUGAGCCCUCCCCUCCCGGGUCGUUAUCAACCCAGCCACCUUGACGCGGGCGCCUACUAAGCACACGCCUCUAUGUUGGGGGCCUUUGGCAUCCCCGCAAAUCCGGACGUGGCCGGUUGGGUGGGGUGCACAGUCCGUGCUAACCCGCAGCUAACAAACUAGUCACGUCACUCGCCGCCAAUCGACACGUGCACCCUCAGCCCCACGCGCCGUUCAGGCUCUCAGCCCGGCCCCGCCGCCGCCGGCGGCCAUGGCGGCCGCUGCAGCUUGGUCGGCCGCUCGAAGCCCAUCAGCUUCAGCAGGAGGAGCACACGGAUCACUUUGGCGGCACAGCAGCCGCCUUCCGUCAGCCAGCCAUGGGCGCGACCGGCCACAGCUUUUACCGUCGGUUACGAGGUAACAUGUGAAUUCGCAACUUGCGCUACUGACUGCCUACUCUCGUGCCGCCUGCAAGCCCACUCCGCCUUCCGCUCUGGUCUGCGUACGCAUUAGUUCCGCAACACUCGUCAUUAAGCUACCUAGGCCACUUUCGGCUCGCUCGACAUCAGUCAACCAUCCGCCGUCAUUGCAUCGGCAGGCCUCUGUCGAGCCUGGUUAUGCAAUUGAUCCCGCAAAACGGAACUUACUGACAAGUGUUGUGCUGCGCAGGAUGGCCAAGGAAAGGGUCCCGGGGGGGGGGGGUCAGUCUGUCUGGGACGCGCAGGCUGGGGGUGGUUUCGUGCCACCAAUAUGCACAUGCAAACUCCGGUCUGGCGCUGGACAUGAGCGAUUGACUCAACCAAUUUAACCAAUACAUCUGUUGCUUAGUGAAGUCUGCCUGUUGUGCCGACACGCAGCACUUGUGAAGAAGCACCCGCAAAUAGACAAGAAGACCGCGCGAGCGUGCUGCUUACUUCAUUGCUGCAUAUACUGUACGUAGCAUUGCUGUGUAUACAUACAGGAGCCCUUACAGGAGUCCUCGACAGUUUGAGGAAAGCAAACUGCCUGUUUCGAAACGAGUAUGAGCACGAGGCAGUAGAGGCGCAUAGUCGAAAGCCAUGCGGACCGUCGUUGCUUGGCAGGAGACACCUGUAAGUCUGGGCGGGUAGUUCCACUGCGAAGGCCAUGUUGCCUUCGCGCGGCCCAGAGCCGGCCUCGGCUGACCCUAAGCCUGCCGCUUGAUCGCAGCCCGAAAAGGACGGCGUACGCAACGUCUGCUACGACCUCUGCUUUAAGCCAGGUGCGGAGGAAAAGCCAACAUGCCGGACCGUCAACGCGACCGACCUUGCUGGGAACGGGAUGUUGACCACGGCUUCAUACCCUAUUACAAUUGCAGAUGGCUCGCAAGUUGUUGCGGGCAUUGGGAACCGUGUGCUGGUCUACGAUGCUGCGGAUGGCGACCUUCUGCACGCGUUGAAGGGCCACAAGGUCAGUGGCCUGUCAUGUCCACCCAUCACAUAUUUGAGCUGUACGUAAAGCGAAUAACCGGGUCUCUGGGCACUGCAGGACUCGAUUUACUGCGUCGCGUAUGCCCAGAACGGAAAGCGCUUUGCAUCGGGAGGCGCGGAUAAGACGGUCAUCAUCUGGACAAGCAAGGUGAGUGGAACCAGAAGGUGGGGGUGGGGGUGGGGGGCCUGGGGGUCAGGGAGGCAGCUGGGCUCCCGCGUGCGGUGUUGCCUAGACUCAGUGCGCGUGUGGAUGUGUAUGCUGAGUCUGAACCUGCUUCCGGGCCUCUUAUCACACAAACAGGCGGAGGGCAUUCUGAAAUAUACGCACAACGAUGCGAUUCAGUGCCUGUCUUACAACCCAGUCACCCAGCAGCUGGCCAGUGCCACCGGCUCGGAUGUGGGCCUGUGGUCACCGGAGCAGAAGUCUGUGGCGAAGCACAAGGUGUGGCACUUAGAGCUGUGGCAUCUGCUUGUCACAGUGCGAGCGGGGAAUGAGCUGGGGAUACAGUUUGAGGUGCAGGGGCUUGGGGCAGGCGGCUCAGGACAGCCUGGAAACGGCAGAGUGCGGCAUUGGGGCGGAACAGCGCUUUGCCGCGACUCGCUGGUGGGGCGGAAUUUACCAGCCACACAUGGAGAGGGCCCUCAACCUCUGGCCCCAUCCUUGGCCGGAGCACAAGCUCAGCGUGGAGGCGCCGUGUCUGGGCGCAGAGCCAGCUCGCGUAGAGACGGGAAUUGACGGAGGCGCCGUGUCUGGGCGCAGCAUGCCAGCUCGCGUAGAGACGGGAAUUGACGGAGCAGCAGCCCCCCCACCAGUGGGGGCGUACCCGCAGAGCUGUCUGCGCGGUCUCGGGCAGUCACGGCCAGACCGUCUGUGGCAGUAGUGGCCGCGCUGGUGUACCCGAGUUUGCCUUGAGUGCGAUGCUCAGCUCGCAUGAGCCUGUGUACCUGCCGCACUCUGCACCUCGCUGCAUUCCUUGGGACCCUUACCGCUGGGAAUCAUGCUACAACCACAUGCACAGGUGGCCUCGCGCAUCUGCUCCAUCUCGUGGACUGCGGACGGCGCCUACCUGGCGCUGGGCUGCUUUGACGGUGUGAUCAGCAUUCGCGACAAGGGCGGCAGCGAGAAGCACCGCAUUGAGACGGGGCCGUCGCCGGUGUGGAGCAUCUGCUGGAACCCCGUGGUGCGUGUGCGUGCGUGUGUGUGUGUGUCUGUGUGUGUGUGUGUGUGUGUGUGUGUGUGUGUGUGUGUGUGUAUGUGUGUGUGUGUGUGUGUGUGUGUGUGUGUCUGUGUGUCUGUGUGGAGGGCGAUUGGGGCUGUCCUCGGGGAGGACCGGCCGCACGUGAAUGGCGCAGGAGGGCGCAUUGCGGUUGCAAUUGGGCAUUCCCCAAGCUGCUGAGGGUACGAGCGUAGGGUCGGGGCAACAUCAGCGCAAGCAGUGAGGGUGGGAAAGCGGUGUAGCAGCAUGGAAAUGCAGCGAAGGGCUAAGUUUGCAGAAUGGCAGCUCAGCGGGCGGAUCUGACGGCCGUGCAUUGCUUUGCUGCAGGAGACCAACGUGCUGUGCGCGGGUUGCUUUGACGGCGUGCUCAAGUUCUACAUGAUGAGCGGUCAGCAGAAGAGCAAGGACCGCGAGCUGGCGUUCGACCCGCUGUGCGUUUCCUACUUCAGCAGCGGCGAGUACAUCACCGUCAGUGGCACGGACAAGUAAGAUAGUCUGUUGUGCGGACGGCGAACGCAACAAUUAUAAGUGGUGUGGUGCAGGCGACCGGGGCGGCUCAUCACGACACUGUGCUUCAUAUGCCCACACACCCGUACAUGCUGACACCACCGGAUCACCUGUGUCACACAAACACUCACGUGUGCAGGACGGUGCACCUGUACACGCGCGACGGCACGUACCUGACCAAGAUUGCGGACCGCGACAGCUGGGUGUGGGCGGUGCGGCCGCGGCCCAAGCACAACUUCGUGGCGGUGGGCACGGAGGGCGGCGGCAUCGCCAUGUUCCAGCUUAUCUUCUCCACAGUGCACGGCCUAUACCAGGACCGGUACGCCUACCGCGACCAGAUGACGGACGUCAUCAUCCAGCACCUCAUCACCGAGCAGAAGGUGCGGCUGCUCAUGCGCCUGGUUGGUUGGCUCCUACUUCGCUACCGCUGGGUGCAGCCUGAAGGGAGGUCCCAUCAUGGUACGCCCUCGCACUGGGUCGGCGCUUACCUGUGUCAAUGCUGUGUGCCCCCACAUCCCCAUGCAGGUCCGCAUCAAGUGCAAGGACUACGUGAAGAAGAUCGCGGUGUACAAGGACAAGCUGGCGGUACAGCUGCAGAACAAGGUGGUUAUCUACGAGCUGGCCAACGCCGACGACUUCGACAUGCACUACCAGUCCGCCACCAAGAUCCAGCAGAAGCUGGACUGCAACCUGCUGGUGGUCACCAGCCACCACGUCAUCCUGUGUCAGGUGCGGCGUCGUGACGGUCGAAUGCACGGCCGCGUGCUUGGAAGAUCUGGUUGAUUGAAUGCGCUGUUGCUGCCAGCCUCGCAUUGGCGCGCAUGCUCAUGUGCCCCCGCCCUGUUCUUAUUUGCCGCCUUGCAGGAGAAGAAGCUGCAGCUGUACAACUUCGACGGCGUCAAGGAGCGCGAGUGGGUGCUGGACAGCGUCAUCCGCUACAUCAAGGUGGUGGGCGGGCCACCCCGCCGCGAGGGCCUGCUGGUGGGCCUCAAGAGCGGCGCCAUCCUCAAAAUCUUUGUGGACAACCCCUUCCCCAUCCCGCUCAUCAAGCACACCGCCUCGGUGCGCUGCCUGGACCUGUCGGCCAGCCGCAACAAGCUGGCGGUGGUGGACGAGAACGCCAAGGUGCUGGUGUACAAUCUGAUCACCAAGGAGCUGGUGUUCGAGGAGAGCAAUGCCAACAGCGUGGCCUGGAACAGCGAGUUCGAGGACAUGUUCUGCUACAGCGGCAACGGCAUGCUGUCCAUCAAGACCGGCGACUUCCCGCUGCACCAGCAGAAGCUGCAGGGCUUCGUGGUGGGCUUCAAGGGCAGCAAGAUCUUCUGCCUGCACUACGUGUCCAUGCAGACCAUCGACGUGCCGCAGUCCGCCUCCAUGUACCGCUACCUGGAGCGCAAGGACUUCGAGUCCGCCUACCGCGUGGCGUGCCUGGGCGUCACCGAGGCCGACUGGAAGCAGCUGGCGCUGGAGGCGCUGCAGGCGCUGAACCUGGAGGUGGCGCGCAAGGCCUUCAUCCGCAUCCGCGACGUGCGCUUCGUGGAGCUGGUCAACCGCACCGAGGCGGGCCGCAAGGCCGGCACCAGCGAGCAGCUGCUGCUGGCGGAGAUCAUGGCCUUCCAGGGCCGCUACCAGGAGGCGGCGCGCCUGUUCACGCAGGCGGGCGCCGUGGACCGAGCCAUGGAGAUGUUCUCUGACCUGCGCCAGUUCGAUGAGGCCAAGAAGUGGGCGGAGGAGUUCGCGGCCAGUGGGCGCGGCGACCAGCGCAGCGUGCAGGAGCUCAUCAACCGCCAGGCGGAGUGGAGCGAGGAGGUCAAAAACUACGACGCCGCAGCGGAGAUGUACAUUAAGGUGCGGCAGCUGGGGGGACUGGCAAAGGGAUGGAAUUCAUGGGACAGUGGAGCCCUUCUCGAGUAUGUUGGGUUGUAGGCCGAUCGAGUCUAUCUCCCUCACCUUUGUUCCCUUCGUGACGCUUAACCCGCACGCACCUCUACAGGCCAAGAAGUACGACCGCGCCAUUGCCAUCCUGGCCAAGCACCAGUGGUGGGACAAGCUCAUUGGUGUGGUGCGACAGCUGGACAAGACGGACGCGCGCUGCCUGGGCAUGUGCGCCGGCCACUUCCGCCGCGCGCCGCACUUUGCGUACGCCAAGGAGACGCUGCUCAAAAUGGACGACACCAAGGUGGGCGCUGGGGGCGCAAUCAACGGGUAUGAACGCGCACCGACCGCCGAAUGUUCAGCCGGGUCACUGACUAAUGCCUUGGUGCUACCCACCUGCCCUGCCGCAAAUCGUCCCCGCAGGGCCUGAUCACGCUGUACGUGGAGGCUGAGAAGUGGGAUGACGCCUUCCUGCUGCUGCACGCGCACCCCGAGUGCCGGCAGGACGUGUACCUGCCCUACGCCAAGUGGCUCAGCAACCAGGACCGCUUCGAUGAGGCGCGGCUGGCGUACCAGGAGGGCGGCUUUCCCAGCCUGGCCACCCGCAUCCUGGAGCAGUUGUGCGCCAACGCGGUGGUAGAGACGCGGUACGCGGACGCCGCCUUCUACUACUAUCAGCUGGCCAUGGAGGCGCUCAAGGUGGGUGAGGCGCUACAGUAGGGAGGUAGAGGGAGGCACCCGCGCAUGCCCGGUGCUCAUGAGGUUACCCGUCCGCGCUGUCCGUUCCUCUCCCGCCUCAUCAAACAACACACCCAUCCCUUCGGACCUGCGCCCGCCGUGUCCCCACAGAGCAUCAAGAACCCGCCCUCCAACAUGGCGCCCUCGGACCGCUCCGCGCUGGAGCGCUUCACGGAGCUGUACGACCGCGCCGAGGUGUACUACGCCUACGAAGUGGUGCACAAGUCCGUGCACUCGCCCUUCCGCACCACGCACCCCGACACGCUCUUCAACGCCUCGCGCUUCCUGCUCAUGCGCCUGCUGCCGCCGCGCGAGGUGCCGCUGGGCGUCAGCGUGGUCAACGUGGUGUACGUGCUGGCCAAGCAGGUGAGGACGGACAGGUGCAGGCAGGAUGCAGGGGCUCAUGGUGGAGCGUGGGGCGGGGCAAGCCGAGGGUGGGCCCGAGCAUCUGCCUGUGUUCUCCCUGAAUUGUCAAUUGACUGAAAUCCCUUGCCGUCGAUCUUGCCCUGCACCCAGGCUGUCGAGGCGGGCGCCUUCAAGCUGGCGCGCUUCGCGUACAACAAGCUGCAGACGCUGGUGCUGCCGGCGGCCUGGCAGGCGGAGGUGGACCUGGCAUCCGUGGUCAUCCGCUCCAAGUGAGUGCAGGGCCUGGGCCGGAGGGGAAGUAGCCUGGUUGGGGGCAAGCACAGGGCAAGGCGGGGUUGGGGGAUGAGGCGGCAGGGGGCCCUGCAGUACCGACCGUACCAGCGCUCAAGUUGCCCACCGCUCCUGCUUGCCCUGCCCCUCUGUCACAGGCCUUUCUCAGACAAGGAGGACCUGCUACCGGUGUGCUGGCGCUGCUCCACCACCAACCCGCUGCUCAACACGCAGGGCGACUACUGCAUCAACUGCGGCGCGCCCUUCAUCCGCUCCUUCGUCACCUUCGAGCACCUGCCCGUGGUGGAGUUUGAGCUGGAGCCGGGCGUGGACGACGAGGAGGCGGGCCGCCUGCUGGGCGAGGACGCGGGCAUGGAGGCGGCGCGGCGCGAGCGCAAGGCGGAGCGGCAGGCCAAGGCGGCGGAGGUGGGCGGCAACAUGCUGCGGCUGGACCAGAACGAGAUCGACCGCAUGGACGACGCCUUCGCGGCCCAGAUGAUGGUGCCCAACACCACCAUCCGCGUGGACCGGGCCAUGCUGCGGCGGCUCAAGACGGCCGAGGUCAUGGUGCGCACCUGGCCCAACCCCGUCAUCCCCAAGCAGUACUUCCGCGUCAUGGACCAGGAGGUGCCGCUGUGCUGCGGACCCUGCGGACACUUCUUCGAGCAGGUGCGUGCCGAGAUAAGCGGCUAGGAGUACAUCAGUACUGGUGCUUGGCAAAGCGGGUGAAAAUGGGGGUGCUUGCAGAAAUUGUUCACACGGGCAAUCUUCACUUACAGUGCACGUUACUCUUUUUGUGCGCACUGUCGCUCACACCUGUCCGCUUGCGCCCUUCCCUCUGCACAGGAUGAGUUCGAGAUGGCGGCGCUGGAGCGUGGCACGGCGCCCUUCAGCCGCACCACCGUGCGCGGCGAGGGCCUGGCGCCGGGCGAGGACGCCGAGGAUGAGGGUGCCGGCGGCAACAAGCUGGGCGGGCCGUUGGGCAGCGCGCGUGGGCCCAUUGGGGGCGCCAGCAAGGCGCGCAUGUCCGUGCCCUUCCAGCAGGGCCGGCCGCUGGUGUGAGCGGGGUCGCCUAUCGGGCGCUUACCGGGUGCGUGGGUGGAUUCCGGAUGUAGGCGGGGAAUAGGAGCUGCCGGUAGUGGCGUUGCAGCAGGCCUUCGUUACGCAGCAGAGGGGGCACGAGGAGGACGUGAACGGGUGUCUUCAUGCUGCUUGUGGUCUGACUUGGUAGGACGGGCGUUGGUGCCAUCAUUAGGCUGCCCCUGCCGGUCCACCAUAGGAGCUGCGAUGGGCCUGAAGCAAGGCCCAUGCACGGUGGCCGGGCACAUGAUGCAUGACGGGACAGAGCACGGGACUUGCUGGAACCAGUGUACAUAUGCCCGCGCAGAGACUGCGUGUCUCGAAGCGGGCACAAAUUGGGACAUGUCGGCGUACAGACAAACGAUGAUGAUGACAGGAUGACAGUUGUUGUGCGGCAGGGGGGCUCCCAAGCCCAGUUGAGGCCCAGGCAGGUUUGGUUGAAUGGGGAUGCACAGUGGCAGUGCUAAUGCGCUGGCGCUAUGAGCGUCCAUGGUGUUGGCGGCCUCAAGUACAAGACACCUUAUAGUAGUUCAAUCUGCCCCGCAAGGUCUUCCCGUGCUGCUGAACCUGGCUAGCACGGUUUCCGGAGUCCGGGCCACUGAGGUCCGUAUCCUUCGCUGGGUCAGGGGAGGCGCUAGUGCAGCCAAGGUGCUACUGUGGUAACUGUGCUCUCCGCAGUGUCCGCACACUGCUGCACAGAGUGGCAGAGGCACAGCGCCACAGCCGCGCAAUUGCGUCAAGCCGUUUUAGUUCUCGGCCGUCUUUGAGGGGAUAAGGAGGAGCGUUGGCUAUGCAGCACAGCACAAAGGCAACCGGGGAGCAAACAAUUACUAACAACUGCUGCUGUUGUUACUUCAGGCUGUGGGUUGAAUUGUGGAUGCCGCGGCGCCGCCGACAUGCCGGGCUCACGGACCGGCCACAUGCUGGAACCCGUUUGCCGAGGCGUCAGAGCUGUGCAAGAGGCGGCCAGGCGAACAACUAGAGGCUGGCCGUAAAGCUGGGCCGCUGGUAGUUGACGGGGCACAGUGCCUGUUUCCGUGCCUGUUUCCAGCUUGCGUUUCCUGUUAUGAACCCGUAUGUACCGGGGAUGCCCCUCCCAGCGUGUGCGGGUCCCAUUGUCAUGUAGUGCUGUAUACCGCCAAUUGGGGCGAGGGAGGUUGCGCAAAAGCAGACAGGUAAGGGCUGGUGGCAAGGCGGGGGCUUGGCGCAAGGCUUGGCGUGGCCGAGGUGGCACUUCGGUCGCUUUUGAGCCGGUGACUGGUUACUGUACGCGGCCUGCUCUUUGCUCUCUCCACCGCUUUCAGGUUCAUCGCCCCGUGCCAGCUCGAGCCAGCUGCCCAGCUCAGCCUGGGUUGGGACAGGUUGGGAUCAUUGGUGUGAAAGUGCGAUUCGACUCGAUUGCGAAUACACCUCUCAGCGCAGGAACCCAUCGAUAGGCAAACGUAUAUAUCCUUAAACAAACAGCAGCACUCAAGCUCCGUAAAGCUUCGCGCCGCCCUCCCGCCAGUGAGAGUUUUUGCUCGGCUCUGCGCCGAGUUUGUUCCUCUCGCGGCGGGGGAUGGCGUCUAGCGGAGAUGUGGCGCUGGCCUUUGGGCUGGUGAUUGCCGCUGGUGAGGCGAGGCGGGGGUCCAAACCGCGCGGAGACUGCAUGGACCAUCACUGGCUUCCGCGCGCUCGUCCCCUUGCAUCUCGCACCUGCCUACCUAAUACUCCAAGCACAUGAUGCAAUGAUCAAGUUAAACAGCACAGCAUGGCAGGUUGCCUACAUCUCCAGUUCUGCUCGGCUGCGUGCCAGUUGGCUACUGCGCUGUUGCGGCCAUGGUCCUGGCCCCUCGCCUCAGUGCGCCCCUUGCCUCCCUCUGCCCGACUGCACUCCCCUCCCUCCUCAGGCCUGUGCACCUGCCUGGGAGCCGCCAUCGCCUUCUGCGUCAAGGUGUCUGACACACGCAUCCUGGCGGCGGCACUGGGCGUGUCGGCAGGCGUCAUGCUGUGAGUGGCCGAGUCGUGCGCGGGCGCGCGGAGGGGCGGGAGGCGGGGAGGGGGAAGGGGCCAAGGGGCCAUUAGAUUGUAAGUUCCCAAAGUGGUUAGGCAGCGGUCAGCGCAUGAUGUACAUAAUGGGUCUGGAAUGGUCUUUGCCGCGGGUGCCUGCCUGCAAGGGCGGAUGCGCUGGGUUCUGCCAGACUGCCUGCACUGAGAAAUAGUGCCCCGUCCACACUUGUGCGCUAGCAUACUGCGUUGCAGUCAUGCUCCCGUAAUGGACCGGCCCACGCCAUGGCAGGUUGGCUCGCCAGCUGCCCUGCUCCUACUCCUUUUAUUAGGCUGGGCCUGCCCCUAACACACGCACACACACACACACACGCGCGCACACACACACACACACACACACACACACACACACACACACACACACACACGCACACACACACACACACAGGUAUGUGUCAUUUGUGGAGAUCUUCACCACCAAGUCCAUUAAGGGGUUCAUGGACGCAGGAUACAGUGACAAGAGUGAGUGGGCGGCGGGGCAUUAUGGGGCAGCGGGGCACUGCUGCUUGAUGGGGUAGGAAGCGUAAGUGUAUGAUGUGGUGGUGGUGGUGAUGGUGGUGGUGAUGGUGGUGGUGAUGGUGAUGGUGAUGGUGGUGGUGCUGGUGCUGGUGCUGGUGCUGGUGGUGGUGGUGGUGGUGAUGGUGGGUGGGGGCUGCGGUGCGCGCGCGGGCGAGCCGGCGUCAGGGGUAGUGAGGCUGCGCACCCGGAGGCUACACAGGCUCCAGCGAGGCGGGUUGGGGGCUCUAGGGUUGAUCCCAGGUCAGCACGGCGUUAGCUAACAUGGACACCCCGUGCGCGUGUCUUCGUAUUUAAUGUGUAUUUUAUAUAUGAUGUCACGUCAACCCACCCUUCCGCGCUGUCUCCACCCCCAACCAGGCGCCUACCGCUACGCCACGCUGCUGUUCUUUGGCGGCAUGGCCGUCACCUGGUGCCUCAAUCAGCUCGCGCACGGCCUGCUGCACCUGGCUGCAGCCAGCCAGGCAGCCAGGAAGCGGCGGGCGGGCGGAGGCGGCGGCGGAGGAGGAGGCACCUGCGGCGGAUGCUGCCCUGCCGGCCUAUGGCUGCGGGGUGGCGGCUGGGGAUGGCGCGGCGCUGCAGCGGGUGUGGACGUUGGCAAGCAGGUGGGUGGGCGCUGCGGCAAAAGCUGUUGACCUCGUGGGAGGGGUGUCGUAGCCUCCCCACCCCCACUGCCAACCACGCCGCCUCGUGUGUGUGGCUCUGUGUGCUGCUCCCCGCUUGCAGGACGACGACACUACCCCGCCCAGCCGCCAGCAGUCCGCACUGCCUGCAGCCCCUUGCUCACAGCACCUGACCGCCCCUGCCAUUGCUACUGCGGAUGCACGCGUCGGCACCGAUGCCUGCAGCACCAGCAGCAGCACUCACGGCCCCAGCUGCAUGGCCCCCGCCCCCUCCGACGCGCCAGUCACAGUGCUGGGACUCACCGCUCCCGCGCCCGCUGACGUGGAGGCUGGCAGCGCCGGCACCGGCAUCACCC
rnacentral:lncRNA from 1 species